ACACAUCCGUGUGAGAACACAGUGGCCAGUCUGUGAAAUAGGCAGCAUCAGCAUGAGAUCACAGUGGCCAGUUUUUCUCCCUCAGGUGGCUAGCAUGGGCCACAGUGGGCAGCCCCUGUCCUUCAGGCAGGGAGCAUCAUCUUGUGGGGAGAGGCAUUCAUUCGUCUUCGUUCCUCUUCCACUCAGGCAGGCAGUAGCAUGUGGACAGAAUAUUCAUUUCUCUUGUGGAAGCUGCCAAAAGCAGCACAAUCUCUUUCUCAGUGCGGUGGGCUAAGUUGGGAGCAGAUGGUGGGCCCUGUAUGUUCUUCGCUUAGUGAGGUGGUCAGCAGAUGUAUGAGAGUAGUGGUCAUCUCACUGAAAUGGGCAGCAGCAUGCGGACAGAGAAGCAGCAGGCAAGGCAAAGAGCAGGCAAGUAGACGAUCCAUCUAUUACAGGGCCUCUCUACUUACAAGAAGUGGACGCAGGUGGCGCUGUGGUCUAAAGCCCUGAGCCUCUUGGGCUUGCUGAUCGUGAGGUCAGCAGUUCAAGUGCGUGCAAAGGGGUGAGCUCCCAUUGCUCUGUCCCAGCUCCUGCCAACCUAGCAGUUCGAAAGCACACCAGUGCAAGUAGAUACAUAGGUACCAUAAACGGCGUUUCCAUGCACUGUAGUUUCAGUCAUGGUGGCCUGUUGCGCCAGAAGUGAUUUAGUCAUGCUGGCCACAUGACCCAGAAAGCUGUCUGUGGAUGAACGCCGGCUCCCUCGGCCUGAAGCGAGAUGAGCACUGUGACCCCAUAGUUGCCUUUGAUUGAACUUAACCAUCCAGGGGUCCUUUACCUUUUACCCUAUUCUUUGCAGUUUAUAAGGGCCAGGAGGGCACACAGACACGUUUUUCAGAGUCAAGCAGUUUAAAUACAUUAUUACAAUGCAAACAUAGAGGGUUUCCUUAGAAAAUUGUAUUUUCUGCAUUAUAUUGGCAAUGUAUUGUAUUGUAUUGUACAGUGGUACCUUGGGUUAAGUACUUAAUUCGUUCCGGAGGUCCGUUCUUAACCUGAAACUAUUCUUAACCUGAAGCACCACUUUAGCUAAUGGGGCCUCCCGCUGCCGCUGCACCGCUGGAGCACGAUUUCUGUUCUCAUCCUGAAGCAAAGUUCUUAACCCGAGGUUCUAUUUCUGGGUUAGCGGAGUCUGUAACCUGAAGCGGAUGUAACCCGAGGUACCACUGUACAAACAGUGAAAAUAUGCUACCUUCACAAAAAUGGGUUGAGUCCUGAAAACACACAUCUCAGGUGCCAAAGGUGCGAACCAGAUACAUCCUUGAGUCAUGCCUUUCUUAUUUGUAUUAUUACAUCUGUAAUGAGUGUUCCACACAGUUGCUGCUUGUUCUGCAGAUUGUUUUUUCACUUGUGUGCUGCCUUUUUUUGAAAAAUCAACAAACAUAUUUUUAAAAGAAUAAAUUAGGAAAAUGGCAUGGGUAUAAAAGGGUUCACACACAACAUUACUUCCCAAUGAAAUUGGCACAGGGGGAAAGCACAGUAAACUUGGUGUAUCCAAUCACAAAUCUACUGUGUAAUGUGUAGUUUGGCCCCAAAGCUCAUUGCUUUGACCUUCUGCAUUUUUCUCUCUCUCUUCCUCAAAACCAAGGCAUGUGUUUUAGAAGAGAGGAGAGGGAAACAAAAGGAAGAAGAACCUUCCUGUUUCUGAGCACAAUUCCAAGUGUUGGUGCUGACCUUUAAAGCCCUAAACGGCCUCGGUCCAGUACACCUGAAGGAGCGUCUCCACCCCCAUCGUUCAGCCCGGACACUGAGGUCCAGCGCCGAGGGCCUUCUGGCGGUUCCCUCAUUGCGAGAAGUGAGGUUACAGGGAACCGGACAGAGGGCCUUCUCGGUAGUGGCGCCCACCCUGUGGAACACCCUCCCUUCAGAUGUGAAGGAAAUAAGCAGCUAUCCUAGCUUUAAAAGACAUCUGAAGGCAGCCCUGUUCAGGGAAGUUUUUAAUAUUUAACGCUGUACUGUUUUUAGCACUUGAUUGGGAGCCGCCCAGAGUGGCUGGGGAAACUCAGCCAGAUGGGUGGGGUAUAAAUAACAAAUUAUUAUUAUUAUUAUUAUUAUUAUUAUUAUUAUUAUUAUCCAGCAUACGGAGAGCAGGGAGAGAGUAAUGUAUGCACAUUUUCUCACAACAACCAUGGGUUUCCUUAGAAGAGUCAGAUUUGGUUCUCCUUGCCCAUCAGAUCUCUCCUCUAUGUCACAUUCCUUGCAAUGGGAGAUUUUUCAAGAAGUUCAGAUUAGUCCGGUGAGAGGGUCUCUUGUUCCUCAGCCAUGCCCAGCCCCUCUUGGAAGUUCCAUUUCUAACAUUUUCCAUCUGCAGUUGCUAUGAGCUGCUGAAUAUUUGAACGUCCUGGAACAAAGUUGCUGUAACCACAACUCUUCAAAUUCCAUAUACCUCAGGACUCUUAACAGAUGAACUUUGUUUCUUUUCAUCCUCGAGGGCUGAAAACAGCAAACCAGUUUGAAGCUGUUAGAUUGAAAUACUCGUAUGAGUUCAGAGGUUCCACGCCAAACAUGGUGGAGUUUUUGUUUUGUUUUGUUUUGUUUGGGGGGGUAUGUUUAUUUAAAAUCUAUAUAUUAAAUGCCAACCACUCCCCUCUACAGAUGUGAUAUGAAGCUACUCACUGAGGUCUCACAGGAGGGUGGUUAUGGCUUUGUUUAAACAGCCUGCAGAAAAGGGGGGGGUAAGUAUCUGGAGGAAAAGAGGCUAAAAUAAAUGAAAAGAGAUAUUGAAAAAAAGUGAGAGAGGCCACAGCGCAGUGGUGGUGGAGCACAUGUGUUGCAUGGAAAUUCAGUUCCUGACAUCUCUGAUUAAAACACGUGGGCAACUUUUUUUUUUCUUCAUAUCAAUGUCCUUAUUACUUCACAUGUCCCUACUUUCCAGGAACAGUCCCAGAUUUACAGAAGCCGUCCCAGUUUCUGAUUAAAUCCUGGAAUGUCCUGCUUUUCCUUAGGACAUCCCUAUCUCCAUCAGAGAAAUGUUGGAGGUUUUUGGUAAUGCAACCCCCUGAGCCAAGGAGAUAAGUAACUAUACAACCUUUAGAAGACAUCUGAAGGCAGCUAUGUACAGGGAAGUUUUUUUAAUGUUUAAUGUUUUGUUAUGUUUUUAUGUAUGUUGGAAGCCACUCAGAGUGGCCAGGGCAACCCAGUCAGAUGGCUAGGGUAUAAAUAGUCAAAUUAUUAUUCUGAUGGAAUAGGAUAUCCACAUGAGAAAUGUUGGAGGAUGUGCAUUUUGCAACACCGAGUUACUGCAAUGAUGGCAGAGGGCAAGAAUUCCUCAUUUUAGUCUUCCUUUUUUUGGCAUUUAGUUUGUCUAACCUUACACAACAGAGUCUUUUCCAAACACACACCUCCCCUUUCUAGAACAGAGAGAUUUUGGAUAUUUUAAAAAAAUUAAAUAAAUGUACAGUGGUACCUCAGGUUACAUAGGCUUCACGUUACAGACUCCGCGAACCCAGAAAUAGUGCUUCAGGUUAAGAACUUUGCUUCAGGAUGGGAACAGAAAUCGUGCUCUGGCGGCGCGGCAGCGGCGGGAGGCCCCAUUAGCUAAAGUGGUGCUUCAGGUUAAGAACAGUUUCAGGUUAAGUACGGACCUCCGGAAUGAAUUAAGUACUUAACCUGAGGUACCACUGUACAAUUGUUAUUCAGUUGUGCAGACCUGCCCUUUAGGGCAUUUAUCACAUACAAACUGCUGUGUGGUCAAGCUUUUGGCGUGUGGAUGAAGUUGCAGUUUACAAUACUCUAGCUUCUCAGCCCAAGCCCUUUCCAAGCCUUACUAAGCAAAAUCACUUUAAUGAGUGGCCCUCAGUCUAAUCUUAUGUGUCCCCCCCAACCUAAAUUCAAGAGCCUUCUGCAAACAGUGCGUUCAGACUUCUGUCAAUCGGGAUCUAUAUCUUCCCUGGUAUACUGUAAGUGGGAUGGAAGAGGGAAGGAGAGAGAGAGAGAGAGAGAGAGAGAGAGAGAGAGAGAGAGAGAGAGAGAGAAUGGGUAGCAGAAAAGGAGAGUAAAUUGGGUAGUUCCAUCCAUUUUGGCUCCGGCCUUACCUGCCACUAGCUUCAGAUGCAUGCCCUCCAACAUUUCUCUGAUGAAAAUAAGGAUGUCAACUACUAGGGACGUGGGUGGCACUGUGGGUUAAACCACAGAGCCUAGGGCUUGCCGAUCAGAAGGUUGGCGGUUCGAAUCCCCAUGACAGGGUGAGCUCCCGUUGCUCGGUCCCUGCUCCUGCCAAUCUAGCGGUUUGAAAGCACGUCAAAGUGCAAGUAGACAAAUAGGUACUGCUCCGGCGGGAAGGUAAACAGCGUUUUCAUGCGCUGCUCUGGUUCGCCAGAAGCAGCUUAGUCCUGCUGGCCACAUGACCCAGAAGCUGUACGUGGGCUCCCUCGGCCAAUAAAGCGAGAUGAGCACCGCAACCCCAGAGUCGGUCAUGACUGGACUUACUACUACUACUACUACUACUACUACUGCUAUAUUUAUACCCCACCAAUCUGACAGGGUUGCCAUAGCCAUGCUGGGUGGUUUCCAACAUAUAUAAAAACAUAAGAAAACAUUAAACUUUUUUUAAAAAAACUUCCCUAUACAGGGCUGCCUUCAAAUGUCUUCUAAAGGUUGAAUAGUUACUUAUCUCCUUGGCUCAGGGGUUACAUUACCAUACCCUCCAACAUUUCUCUGAUAAAAAUAGGGACAUCCUAAGGAAAAGCAGUGCAUUCCAGGAUCAAAUCAGAAACCAGGACAGCUUCUGUAAAUCUGCAACUGUCUCCGGAAAACAGGGACCCUUGGAGGGUCUGCAAAUGAAGAAGUUAAAAGUGCCACACACAAAAAAUCCAAAAUUACCCACAUAAUAAUUAUAUCAGGCUUCCUCAACCUCGGCCCUCCAGAUGUUUUUGGCCUAGAACUCCCAUGAUCCCUAGCUAGCAGGACCAGUGGUCAGGGAUGAUGGGAAUUGUAGUCUCAAAACAUCUGGAGGACCAAGGUUGAGGAAGCCUGAAUUAGAUCCACAAAUUGGCUUCCUCAUGUCCCCUUCUCCGCUACCCAAAAUUAUGCACUGAUUUUAGUUCAUGUAUAUUUGUUUCCCUUUCACAAAGCUAUGUUUUACAUGGCAGAGGGGUGUCCUCCUUUCUUGUAGUACAGAAUACAACUGUUGUGACUAUCUUACUCCUUAUCAGUAGGGACAGCAUACUUGCCAUGCUGUAAGAAGCGGCCUGUUUUAUCCGUUGAUUUAAUUAUUUUGCUUGUUAUCUUGCCUUUCCUUUGAGCCACUGUUAUUGUUACAAAAGUGUAAAUCCUACACAAAGCUUUUCCCUUUUGUGGAGGUUCCAAAUCUCCAAAGGCUUGUAAGCUGGUGUGAAAUACUGGCUUAAUUGAGCAGUGUGCUUUUGAUUUAUUAAAGAAGCCUAAAUCCUCUGAUUAAACUGACACACAGAUUUUCUAGAGAUUAUCAAAUCUAAAAUCCAUUAUUCCAAGGGGCUUAAACCAUGUAUUGACACCAUACAUAUCUGUGUGUGUGUGUGUGUGUGUGUGAGAGAGAGAGAGAGAGAGAGAGAGAGAGAGAGGAGAGACUGUGAUCACUGGCAUUUAUGGUUGAGCUCAGAUCAUCUUUGAGCUCAUUUACUGUUUCCCACAAACAAAAAAGAAAAUCCACUCAUUAUAAAUAGAUUUCACAUCUUCACUGACUACUGCACAAUGGGUGUAUGUUAAAUCUAUGGGAUCUAAAUGCACAUAACUGGAUUGUGCCCAUUCUUUGUUGUCACUAUUGAUAUGCAUCCAUCUUUCUAUUUCUUUUCUGGUUCUUUGGCAGGAGGAAAUUUGUCAUAAGGAACUUAUCCUAUUGCAAUCUUAAAGCAAAGCAGAGCUGAGGGGGACUUGUGGUCCUUUAGGUGGCUGCUCAGUUGGUGCUGAGCCACAACAGGGCUUUUCUGGUGGUGGUUCCCCUGCUGUGGAAUACCCUCCGUAGUGAGGUGUGUCUUAUCUCAGUCAUUAACUUUUGGAGGAAUUUGAAAACAUUAGCGCUUGCCAUUUUAGUGUGCUGGAGAAUACUGUUCAGGCUCAUUGGAUGGAAUUAGAUUUUCAGUUGGAACUGCUUUUAGAAGGUGUUUUUUUUUUUACCAUUUCUUUUUAGAAUGCUCAAACUGGUUUAGAAAGUUUUUGCUUUUUUUGGAAUUGUGUAUCUGUGAGAGAUACACCAGUGACAGCUGGACCAUAAAGAAGGCUGAUCGCCAAAGAAUUGAUGCUUUUGAAUUAUGGUGCUGGAGGAGACUCUUGAGAGUCCCAUGGACUGCAAGAAGAUCAAACCUCUCCAUUCUGAAGGAAAUCAGCCCUGAGUGCUCACUGGAAGGACAGAUCCUGAAGCUGAGGCUCCAAUACUUUGGCCACCUCAUGAGAAGAGAAGACUCCCUGGAAAAGGCCCUGAUGUUGGGAAAGAUGGAGGGCACAAGGAGAAGGGGACGACAGAGGACGAGAUGGUUGGACAGUGUUCUUGAAGCUACGAACAUGAGUUUGACCAAACUGUGGGAGGCAGUGGAAGACAGGAGUGCCUGGCGUGCUCUGGUCCAUGGGGUCACGAAGAGUCGGAUACGACUAAACGACUAAACAACAACAUCUGUUUUGUCUCCCUGGGCUCCUUGGAGAGGAAGGGUAGCACACAGUCAACAAAUAAAAUAAAAAUAGGGGUUGUUGGAGUCCAUCUCCCAUCAUGCCUGACUAUUGGCCAGGAUGACUGGGACUGGUGAAAGUUGAGAGUCCAAGAAUAUCGAAAAGUACCCAUCCUUGGGUAAAGGGAGAAGGCACACAUCUCCUCUUCAUGCAGCUCUUACAGGAAAGUCCAUCAUGCAAAACGUUGCUUAUAUUUAAUACUGCAAUGUCUAACACUUCCAACCAUUUAUAAUGGAAUAAGAUACGGUAAAGGUAAAGGUACCCCUGCCCGUUCGGGCCAGUCUUGCCAGACUCUAGGGUUGUGCCUCAUCUCACUCUAUAGGCCGAGAGCCAGCGCUGUCCGCAGACACUUCCGGGUCACAUGGCCAGCGUGACAAGCUGCAUCUGGCGAGCCAGCGCAGCACACGGAACGCCGUUUACCUUCCCGCUGGUAAGCGGUCCCUAUUUAUCUACUUGCACUGGUGUGCUUUUGAACUGCUAGGUUGGCAGGCGCUGGGACCAAACGACGGGAGCGCACCCCGCUGCAGGGAUUCGAACCGCCGACCAUGUGAUCGGCAAGUCCUAGGCGCUGAGGUUUUACCCACAGCGCCACCCUGCAUAAGAUACGGUAGUAUGGCCCAAAUGGUUUAGGACGUAGUGAAAUUAGCGUCCAGGGGGAAUUUUGAAUAAUCAGCAAAAUGUCUGAGAUCUUGGCAACAGAACUAGGAAGUGUGUGUUUAUCACUCUUUGCUCUUUCCGGGGGAUUCUGGAAAAAAGCUCAGCAACUUUUUGGGCAAUUCCCCCCCCCAAAAAAAAGCUCAGAGACAAUGUCUGAGUAGGGACUGGGGAGCAGUUGGGGUCCAUUUGCAUUUAAGGGUGAACUUUCCCAAUUUACGCUUUCUGAAACAACAUGAGAACCAAAACACUGCCAUUCUUUGAAAUUCGCAUUUUGUGGUGCUGUUUCCCAGCCGAGUUAGGUGUACAAAACGGCAUAAGCUAACAUAAAGCGUGCAUAAAACUCCUGAUAUCAGUGAAAUUCCAGCAAAAUUGCAUACCAAAAAUUAGGAGUAAUUAGCACUAACUUGCUGGUGAAUUUUCAUGAGGACUUCCUUUAAAAAAAUUGCAAACUGAUGUGGAAAUGUGAAGAACUGAAUUUAAGACUGGGAAAAAAACAGAAACAGAGAGAGAGGGAGAGAGAAAUUGACAUAUUCACCCAACCCUCAGACAGAGUAAUAUGGGUGUGGACUCACCGGGGGUGGGGGGGCACAGUGUGAAGAAAAGAAAACUUGGGAACCCUCUUUUUGACAUUAGUUACUGAAAUAUACUUGGAGUCGAGAGUGGAUUUCAUGCUCUUUAUUCAGCUCAUAGUGGUGAGGAGGAAUGGAAGUUCCCCCACAAUAUCUGCUUUAUAUACAUUAUUUACACAAUGGGGUGUACAUGAUUGGCUAAUUCCAGGAUUCUCCUGUAGGCCAAUCGGGUUGUGGAUUCACUUUCACCUGGAGCUGGAUUGGGUGGCUCCUGUGGACCAAUCAGACUGCUGCAUUUUGGAUCCUAUUCAACUCAGUACAUAACAGUUACAAUGGUAAUAAAGGAGGAAGAAAUAGAUGAGUCAGAUUCUAUCGAUAAAAUUCUCAGAAUCCCACCCUUUGCCCAGGAAAAUUCUAUUGUGGCAACUGAAUGAUGAUCUUACUUAGUAAGGCGUUUCAUACAACAGGGAGUGCAAACAGCCCUGUUUGAUCUUAUUUGGCAAGACAUACCACGGGGACCAAUAACAGCCUUGUCUAGAACUUACAGGUGGACGUGCCAAUUUAUAAGCCACAGUGCCUGAUCUGAAGAGGCUACAAUUUCCAGAGUUCACAGGAAAGAGGCAUUGGCUGUUAAACCACUCUAAGAAUUGCAGCUUUAUGUGGGAUAUAGGGGUCUUCUAACAACUCUGAGUUAAUAAACUACACUUCCCAUGAUUCCUUGUGGAAACCAUGGCUGUUCAAAGUAGUGUGGUGUUUCUUUAAGAGAAGAUGGGGUCUAAGUCUAACGCCACUUUGAGCGCAAAAGGAAAGGUGGAAGAGCACAUGUUCCACAUGUAGGAGAAUCAAGGUUUAGUUCUCGACUGAAGGACCUCCGAAAGCAAGCAGAGCUAGUAAACAUCUCCAUCAGAGGCCUUGGGUUGCAGCCACCAGUUGAAGGGUUGUACCCAAUGCUCAGAGUAGACUGAAAUGAAUGGACCUAACAUCAUUGAUUUCAGUGGGUCUACUCUGAGUAGGGCUAGCACAACACACAGUUCAGAGAAAAGAAGGCUAGGCCCAUUCUAAAUAGUCCAGUGACCAAGCUCUGUGUAAGGUUGUUUGUGUGUAUUAUUCAUAUGUGUACAGUGGUACCUUGGUUCUCAAAUGUCUUGGUACUCAAACAACUUGGAACCCAAACACUGCAAACCCGGAAGUAAGUGUUCUGGUUUGUGAACUUUUUUCAGAAGCUGAACGUUCUCCGUUCUGAGUGCCACACUUCCGUUUUGAGUGUUACACUGAGGUCUGUCUGUUUUUGCUAUUUAUUUUGUGUUUUUGUUUUUGAGGCGUUUUUGUUUUGUUUUGUGACUGUGUGGAACCCAGUUCAGCUACUGAUUGAUUGAUUGUGUGAUUGCAGUGCAUUGUUUAUUGCUUUCAUUUUAUGGAUCAAUGGUCUCGUUAGAUAGUAGAAUUCAUGUUAAAUUGCUGUUUUAGGGGUUGUUUUUAAAAGUCUGGAACGGAUUAAUCCAUUUUGCAUGACUUUCAAUGGGAAAGCGCGCCUUGGUUUUGAAACGCUUUGGUUUUGGAAUGGAAUUCCUGAAGUGGAUUAAGUUUGAGAACCAAGGUACCACUGUAUUAUUCAUGGUUCUUUGGGAACUAGGACCACAUCAUAUACGGAGAAAACUGGAAUUUCUUUUUUCCCCUUCCCAUUUUUGGGAACCAUCUUGGUUUACCUUUUUGAUACAAAGUGUGCAGAAAGGUCUGGGGUCUAAAGAGUUCCAAAAGGUUUUAAAUUGGGGCAUGGUGGUGGGGGAAAAGGGGAAAUAACUGGGGAAACAUCCAGUUCCAAACAUGACUUAACACAAAGAAUAGGAAUGAAGGCAACCUACGGUACUUCCAAGAUAAAUUGCGGGGGAGGCACUACAUAGUGCAGGGCCACUUAAAAAGUUACAAUAAUUAUGUUUUACUUUAGGGUAAGGUUUUAUUUAUCCUGCCAAAACUGUUUUGUCACACUGGCUUAUUUUAAUGCAUUUCAGAUUUUGCUAAUCUCUGGAAAAUCUAUGUAUCAGUCUAAUCAGAGGAUUGGGGGAUUCUAUCCUGAAUCAAAAAAUAUACUGCUCCAUUAAGUCAAUAUGUCAUGCUGGCUUAUGAGCCUUUGGAGAUUUCAGACUUGCAGAAGGAAGGUUCAUUCCCUGCCCCCACUUCAUGUUAGAGUUAAGCUCUCCUAACCACCGGACUUAAAACAAUAAUAGAAUCUGUCUCAAUACAAUGGCAUCCAAACAGUUGGUUUGCACUCUGAUAUCUGAGAUGCCAAAGCCCUGAGAAUAUAAAGCCAUUCACAAAAAGACUAUGCAGUGCAUUAGUAAAUUUGCUACACACCCCAUAACCGCUUAAGGCAAAAAUGGAAACAGUGAGCGUUUCCAUAGUUAAUGCAAAUACCCAAAACCGCAAUUAUUGCUCAGCAUCUGUUAGCACACGACUCUAGAAACAUUUAUCUGUCCUGUAGAUUCUACAGACAUCCAGCGCUGCUUUGGAUGAAAGUCCAGAUCAGUGAAAUUGAAAGAAUGUUCCCGUAGCGAUUCCAUUUGGUACUGAGCCGGAAGAUUAAUCCCACCAGCUCUGGUCAAAGUUGUUCCCAGCAGACAAUUAACAGCUGUGUAGCACCAAUACAAUACAACAAUGCUUUUGAAUUAUGGUGCUGGAGGAGACUCUUGAGAGUCCCAUGGACUGCAAAGAAGAUCAAACCUCUCCAUUCUGAAGGAAAUCAGCCCUGAGUGCCCACUGGAAGGACAGAUCCUGAAGCUGAGGCUCCAAUACUUUGGCCACCUCAUGAGAAGAGAAGACUCCCUGGAAAAGACCCUGAUGUUGGGAAAGAUGGAGGGCACAAGGAGAAGGGGAUGAUAGAGGAUGAGAUGGUUGGACAAUGUUCUUGAAGUUUGACCAAACAUGAGUUUGACCAAACUGCGGGAGGCAGUGGAAGACAGGAGUGCCUGGCGUGCUCUGGUCCAUGGGGUCACAAAGAGUCGGACAUGACUAAACGACUAAACAACAACAAGCACCAAUACUUUAACUCAGAGGUUUUCAACCUUUUUGAGUACACGGCUCCCUUGACCAACACUUUUUUUCUGCAGCUCCCCUGUGGUAGCCUCUGAAGUCCAGUUAGGUCACUCCUUGCUUGCAGAGCCGGCAGCCCCUCACUCAUUUUUGAACACCCUCCCUUGUGGAAGCCAAGAGAGCAUCUUAGGCUAAGCAGAUGUUGCUUCUUCGAUGAAUGUAGUUAUAGAGAGAGAGAGAUGGUGGCCAGUCCUAUGCUUUUGUUACCUGCACAGGUGAGGCCACACCCACCUCUGGUCACAUGUAGAGGAAGUCUGUCCCAGCCUAGGAAGAAACAGGAAGUUCCGACUGGCUGAUCAAGACAUCCCCUUUUUAUGUCCACUCUAGGGGUGUUGUACGUGACUGCUCUGAAUUUCACAUCCCACAGUAAAAUCUUACCUGUUUAAUGUGUGUGUGUGUGUUUCCUGAAAGCACUAUAACUCUCUAAGACUGUGUAGGGCAACCCAGUCAGAUGGGUGUGGUAUAACUUAUAAAAUUAGUAGCAGUCGUAGUAUAACACACAGCCACACUUCCAUUUGUCCUGUGAGGUUUUACUUGUGUCCACUUUUUUUCAAAGUAUGUUUUAUAUGGAUUGAUUAUUUCUACCCACAUUGAGCGGAUUACACCAGGGUAUAGAUUUGAUUCUGGGUUAAUUAAUUAAAAUGUGGUGGGGAGAAGUUGCCUUGGGACUGUGUGGCUUAAUUUAGGUUGAAAUUCUAUACAAACUUACCUAAGGGAGUUAGCACCACCAUUAUGAGAUUGCACUGAUGGUUUUUGAUCUGGAAAACCACUAAAAAUUACCCACAGUUCAAUACAGUUCUUCAGUGUGCCUCAAAGUUGCGUUUGAUUUUCAGAACUGAAGCAAGCUUUUUCGAUUCUUUUUACAGAUGUUUCAGCUUGGUCUGACUUGUGAUUAAGAAAAUAGCCAAUUGUUUUAAUAAUAUAUGUGUGGACCUAGAGCUCAGUCCACAGAUUGCUUGCUCCCAGCGCACUGGAAUAUCCAUGCUUCUCAAAUGCGGAGGGGAAUUUCCGAAAGCACAGGAAAAGGAAGGCCUUUUUAUAAAAUCUCAGCUGAACAAGUUAAUACUUGACAGCUUGAAUUUAUGUGAGCAUUAACAAGGCUGAUAAUUCAGGCUGUUGUUGCCCUUGGUAACAUUCCAGCAGUAAUGUUUUCACAAAGAUGAACUAUUUUUAGACAGUUUCUCCAGUGCAUGAAAAACAAACAGGCUUUCCCCAUAAAUUCAGGAAGGCCCAUGCCUCCAGGUUUCACUUCUUUUCAAAUGGUAACAAUGCGUCGUUCAGCCUAGCGAGCAAUGCUACUGACACAACAUCAAUUCCUCUCACUUUGGGUGGUGUAGCCCUUAUCAGCGGUAUCUAGUCAGGAUCUCAUCAAAGGGAGAACAAAAGCGGCGCUGCUUUCUUUCAUUCUCUCUUCCAUGCUUUCAUUCGCCAAGAUCUUAUGGGAAUAACACAAGUGCAUUGCGUCUGGAUUGCUGGGUUGAUUUCCAUUCCAGACCUGGGAAUAAUAAUAAUAAUAAUAAUAAUAAUAAUAAUAAUAAUUGUACCCUGCCCAUCUGACUGGGUUGCCCCAUCCACUCUGGGUGGCUUCCAACAUACAGUGGUACCUCAGGUUACAUACGCUUCAGGUUACAUACGCUUCAGGUUACAGACUCCGCUAACCCAGAAAUAGUGCUUCAGGUUAAGACCUUUGCUUCAGGAUAAGAACAGAAAUUGUGCUCCGGUGGCGCGGCGGCAGCAGGAGGGGCCAUUAGCUAAAGUGGUGCUUCAGGUUAAGAACAGUUUCAGGUUAAGAACGGAUCUCCGGAACGAAUUAAGUACUUAACCCGAGGUACCACUGUCUAACAUUCUUCCAUUUUCUUCUAGUUGUGAGGGUGGGGGUGGGGAGGGGCCUCACAAGUGGAGUAGCCUAGAGCCUCUCUUCAUCUAAAUCUGGCCCUUCUUACAUUGGCUCCCGACACAUUUCUGAGCACAAUUCAAAGUGUUGGUGCUGACCUUUAAAGCCCUCAACGGCCUUGGCCCAGUAUACCUGAAGGAGCGUCUCCACCCCCAUCAUUCAGCCCAGACACGGAGGUCCAGCUCUGAGGGCCUUCUGAUGGUUCCUUCAAUGCAAGAACCAGGGAACCAGGCAGAGGGCCUUUUCAGUAGUGGCACCCGCCCUGUGGAACGCCCUCCCAUCAGACAUCAAGGAAAUGAAGAACUAUCUGACUUUUAGAAGACAUCUGAAGGCAGCCCUGUUUAGGGAAGUAUUUAAUGUUUAGUGUUUUAUCGUGUUUUUAAUAUUCUGCUAGGAGCCACCCAGAGUGGCUGGGGAAACCCAGCCAGAUGGGUAGGGUAUAAAUAAUAAAUUAUUAUUUAUUAUUACCAUUUCUGUUUUCAUCAGAAUUCUCUGACAUCCCUCUGACAGUCCCCACCUGAUUCCUCCCAUUUUCAUAAAAUCAUGGGCUCUCCAUGUUCAGUUUUGUAAGCCUGCGAAUACCAAUUGCUAUGGGGAACAAAGACUAAUUUAGGGCUAAUUUAGGGCUUCUUUAAAGUAUGUGUGCGGCCACUGUUGGAAACAGUGGACUAGAUGGACCUUUUAUUGGAUCCAGUAAGUUCUUAUAAGCCAGGAGCAGGGAACCUGCUGGGUACAAUUCCCAUCAUCCCUGACCACUGGCCAUGCAAGCAGAGGUUGAUGGGAGUUCAAAUCCAACUGGAGAGACCUACCCUCAUCUCCCUUGUUAAAAGGAAUUCUCCCAGCUAGAAAAAACCAAGCAAGUGUGGUAUAAACACCACAUCUCCACACACUGCUGCAAAACUUAAAGGCUUAAAUCAACUGAAGUUCUAUCCAAGCCAAUUAAAAUUAAGACAUGGUAUUACAUAUACCACUAUCAUCUCAAAUUAUUUGUAAUGGCAAAGACUUGCGUAAACCUUGCCUAAGAAAAUUGUUUGAUUCUGUGGUAGAUAAGUUGGUUCAGAGAGAUUAAUUAUAAAGCAGCUAUUGAGGCUUUAAAGGAGUUAUCAGUAAUUACAGCAAUACCAGGAGUAGAUUAUGGACCACAAAUACAUCACCACUGUAAUCAUACUUAAAGUUUAUAUAGCACUUUCUAACUUCAAAGUGCCUUAUAACCAUCCACUAAUUAAUCUGCAAAGCCUUGUAUCUUGCUCAUCUUUUGCUGACAUAAUAUAUAAACACUGAGUACACUGUCCUUAGGGAGGAAUUUUCCUUCAAAACUACAUUUACAGAAACAUUAAGGUGGGGCACUUUUUAUUUAUUUUUUUAUUAUUUUUGUUCUGUGCAACUUGUUGAAAUCAAGACAUGGAACUAUUGAGAUGAUAUCUUCUGUUCAACCCAAACUGCAUCUUUAAAGAUGUUGGGAGUUUUUGACUUUCAUGGCAGUCUUCAUAAUUUUAUGGUGCAAUUAUUAUUUUUUUCCAAAAAAAAAAGAAUAGCAGAACAAACUUUUAAGGGCCCAUUUGACAUAAGCCAGGGAUUGUUUCUGCAUAAAAAUACCAGCUCAGUUGCUAAUUAGAUUUCCUAUUGGCUAGAGUUGACUAGCUUGUGCUGAUUUCGGAGGUGCCCAAUUAAAACAAUGGGAUCUGCUUUAGAACCUUUGCAAAGUUGACUAACCCGUUGGGAAACACACACCCAUUUCACAAAGGAAGAAAUCAAAUUGCAUUAAUAUCUCAAAGUGCUAUUUUGGCUUAGGGGAAGUUAAAUUUCUGAGGCGCACUAGUCUGUUCUGCAUCAAUUCAGUGAACUUAGGUUAAGCACGGGUUAAAGAUCUGGAAGGCACCAUGGUGGAGAAGGCUGGGUUGGCCUUGGAGGAUGCAUUUGGCUUUUGACAGCAUUAUCUUCUUCCAACUUGAAAAUUCUCAUCUGUUUAGGCAAAGCCUACAGUAGAUGAAAAUGCUACUGGCUGUGUUGUUGUUGUUGUUGUUUAGUCGUUUAGUUGUGUCCGACUCUUCGUGACCCCAUGGACCAGAGCACACCAGGCACUCCUGUCUUCCACUGCCUCCCGCAAUUUGGUCAAACUCAUGCUGGUAGCUUCGAGAACACUAUCCAACCAUCUCGUCCUCUGUUGUCCCCUUCUCCUUGUGCCCUCCAUCUUUCCCAACAUCAGGAUCUUCUCUUCUCAUGAGGUGGCCAAAGUAUUGGAGCCUCAGCUUCAGGAUCUGUCCUUCCAGUGAGCACUCAGGGCUGAUUUCCUUCAGAAUGGAGAGGUUUGAUCUUCUUGCAGUCCAUGGGACUCUCAAGAGUCUCCUCCAGCACCAUAAUUCAAAAGGAACCGGCAAGCCACUCCAGUAUCCCUGCCAAGAAAACUCCAUGGACAAAGACAACAGGCUACUGGCUGUACCAUGACCAAAAUGGCUUCAGAAGCAUUUCUUUUACUUCAUAAUGAACUGUUUUGGUCAAUGGUGAAUUAUUUGAAGCUUCAAGUCUCUUUAAACAAACAUUUGGUUCCCAAAAUGGUGUCUCCCUACUUUCAUAUAUCCCAGUUUUGGUGACAUAGCAGCAAGGCCACCAACAUUUUGAUCAGCCUAUCAAAAAGUCUAGUAUUUUGCUUGGCGUUACUUGGCGGGGGGGGUGAGUUGAAUAGUCCCAGAAGUGGGGAACCUAUAGAGCAUGACGUUGGACUACAACUCCCAUCAUUCCUGACUAUCAAUCUUGAUGGCUAGGCCUGAGGGGAGCUGGUGUCCAUCAACAUCUCCCCAUGCCUAAUGUAAUCACAGAAGGUAAAAGAAAACCAGACAGAAUAAUUUGUAUUUUGGGGGCUAUCAUUUACUUACUCUUCACUACCAUACGUACGACAAGAUGCAUGGUGCCUACACUGCUUCUGCAACCCCAUGCUAUGUAUUUAUCUGCAAACAUCAAAGAUUUUAGUGUAAUCCAGCAGUGGUACAAAAUCUGACAAGUAUAUGAAAGAUCCCAUUGUCAAUUUGCCCCCCUCUGUGUUCUUGCACUGCAAAAGCUGAUGACAUGCAGUGUGAGCCAGCUGAUCAGAUGGGCACUGAUUCCCUUCUCUCUCUCUCUCUCUCUCUCUCUCUCUCUCUCUCUCUCUCUCUAAAGUCCUCCAUGAAGGUGGCAGAUAAAAAACAGGGCAUUCAAGUAGCUGACAGGGUAACCUGUAAGUGCCUGUCCUGGGCAAUCUACUUGUCAGCUUUGCUGGCUAAGAGAGCAGACGCAAGCUUCAGCUGUCAGCUCUGUGUCUUCUCUCCCCUCUGUCUUUCAUCAUUCUUCGUCCCAUGAAUAGAGGUCCUAUUUUGGACUUAUUUAUUUAUUUGAUUUGCCCAGCGCACGGAGCAAAGCGCUCAGUUAUCCUGCCGCAACGAUAUAGGAUGAGGAGGAAAGCAUCUAGAUGUAGCAGCCAGGAGACCUUGAGAUCCUCUGCUGUUGUUGCCGAUUAGCAUGAAAAGCAGGAGGAGGAGGAGGAGCAGGAGUGGCGUGAGGGCAGGAAAGCCCCAAGAAGUGACAUGAAGUGGAAAGGGAAAGGUCUAAUGGAAAACUGAUUUAAAAUUUACAGAUUGUUCCCUACUGAAAGAGAAUUACAAGAAGAUGAUGUACAGAUGGUACACAACACAAGUGCAGUUAUGGAAAAUGUACAAAACUAGUUCAAAUAUAUGUUGGAAGUGUAAGGAAAAGGAGGGGACAUUUUAUCAUAUGUGGUGGGAUUGUAAGGUAAUUUUAAAAAAAUGGGAAAUGAUAUACAAUGAAUUGAAGAAAAUGUUCCAUUUAACAUUUGUUAAAAAACCCGAGGCAUUUUUGUUGGGGAUUGUAGGGAAAGACCUGCCAAAAAAGCUGAAAAACAUCUCCAUGUAUGCGACAACAGCCGCGAGAGUUCUGGUAGCACAAGGAUGGAAGACUGAAGAAACCUCAACUAAAGAAUUGUGGCAAGAAAAAUUGACGGACUAUGCAGAACUGGCAAAACUGACAUAUAAGCGAUGGGACAAGGAUAACUGUGACUUUAAAGAUGAAUGGGAACCCUUUACAAAGUAUCUGAAGACGCAACAAAGCGAACUGGACUCCUUGGCAGGUUUUGAAUAAACAUUCACAAACUUUUUAUUGAUAAUAAUCAGCUAAAUAGUUUGAGGAUCUAUACAACUUUGUAACAUGCAGAAAACAGCAGUCUCAGAGAAACCAAAGGCUGGAACUGAGGGAAGUCGGGGGGGGGAGGGAGGAAAAAUGGGGGGAAAACAAGGAUGAUGUGUUUCUGGAUAAUAUGUUUUGCUUUGAUUUUGAAUUAAAAAAAAACUUCUUUUAAAAAAAGCAUGAAAAGCAGGAGGAGGAGUGGCAUGGGGGCAUGAAGGCCCCAAGAAGUGACAUAAAGUGGAAAGGGAAAGGUCUAAUGGAUUAUAGGGGCGUGGGGGAGAAUAGGGACCGGGGACAAGGGAAAGGGAUAAGGUUGGUGAGAGGUUGGCGAGCAGAGCAGAGCAGGCACAGGGACAAGCAUUGCAGUGCAUCAUAUAAUGAAUUAAAGGGAGCAGACCGUGUGGGUGGCAGCAGCAACAGCCAAUAAAGAACCCGGAAAGCAAACAUUGCCACCUGAUCAAAGAUAUUGCCAGGCUUUGGGGAAUACAAUCCCUCCCACGGUGGUAGCCAAGAAGCAGAUAGACAAUAAAAGUUCUUACCAAUUGAUUUAUUCGAUAUUCACAGCGAGAGGUGACGGAAUGCAGUCUCCCCUAGAUAGUCCCACCCCCUACGUCUCUCCUGUUCUAUGUCACCCUUACAUCAGCUAAUCUGAGCUUUCUGCCUCUGAGCCUUCUAUUCGACUACCCUCAAUGCUUGCCUGGUCCGGGGGGGGGGGCAGGAAUGCUUCCCAAGGACACUGAGUCUGUCAGCUGUCUCUCCCCUGGUACUUCUUCUUCCUGCUGUUCCUCUUCUAAUAUUUCCCAGCUUCUCCCCUCUGCAGCCUCUAAACUAUGCCCUUCUGCAAACCACUGUUCUAAAUCUAUACUGUCCUCCCGUUCUCAGGAAGGUUCAGGAGAACAGGGGACGGCCCCCACCAUUCCUCCUCAGUCCAGCCCCUGACAGAUAUGCAAGUACUUUCAAAUUUUGCUCAAGGCAGGGGUUCAGAACCCCAAGGUGGUUAAAUUCACCCCUGCAAGGAGGUUUUCGCUACCCAUCGCAGGAACUGAAUGCGAUUCUUUUUAAUACAAUGCCACAUGAAUUCAUGUGAUUUGCUUCCCUAAGACAUUACUGGAGUGGCAUGGAUGCUCUCACGCCAAGACUUGCCACAUAUAAAUUGGGCACAAAUCAAGCCCUAUCUCUAAUUUAAACCAGAUCUAUAGUGGCCCCCGGGAUGUGGGUGGCACUGUGGGUUAAGCCACAGAGCCUAGGACUUGCCGAUCAGAAGGUCGGUGGUUCGAAUCCCCGUGAUGGAGUGAGCUUCCGUUGCUCGGUCCCUGCUCCUGCCAACCUAGCAGUUUGAAAGCACAUCAAAGUGCAAGUAGAUAAAUAGGUACCGCUCUGGUGGGAAGGUAAACAGCAUUUCCGUGCGCUGCUCUGGUUCGCCAGAAGCGGCUUAGUCAUGCUGGCCACAUGACCCGGAAGCUGUAUGCCGGCUCCCUCGGCCAAUAAUGAGUGCCGCAACCCCAGAGUCGGCCACGUCAGGGGUCCCUUUACCUUUACCUUAUAGCGGCCCCCUGGCUGUUCCUCCGAAACGCACCUCAACCACCCCAGUCAUGCCCCGCCGUUGGAAGACAAAGCUGCAUAUGCAACCUGCCUAGCCUGGUCCUCCUAUACUACAAGAUGGCCUAAUGUCUCCAGUGAUCUCAUUCUAAGGAAAUUGAAACCCUGGACAAAAACCAGCAGUUUUCACUGCUCAAGAGAAUUGUGGCACAGCCGCAAAGCGAUACAGUUAAAUCAAUGUCAUGGUUCUAGAUCUCAAAGAGCCACCAACAUCUUGAUUUUAUUUUCCUGGAGUAGAGUAAUAUUAGGGAUAUAGAUUUACUUAUUCAGUAAACAAGUUAUCAGAUCUAUGCCCCACCUUUCCUACACCGCACUGGGAGCCAGUGUGGUGUAGUGGUUAAGAGCGGUAGUCUCGUAAUCUGGUGAACCGGGUUCGCGUCUCUGCUCCUCCACAUGCAGCUGCUGGGUGACCUUGGGCCAGUCACACUUCUCUGAAGUCUCUCAUCCCCACUCACCUCACAGAGUGUUUGUUGUGGGGGAGGAAGGGAAAGGAGAUUUUUAGUCGCUUUGAGACUUCUUUGUUGUUGUUUAGUCGUUUAGUCGUGUCCGACUCUUCGUGACCCCAUGGACCAGAGCACACCAGGCACUUCUGUCUUCCACUGCCUCCCGCAGUUUGGUCAGACUCAUGUUUGUGGCUUCGAGAACACUGUCCAACCAUCUCAUCCUCUGUCGUCCCCUUCUCCUUGUGCCCUCAAUCUUUCCCAACAUCAGGGUCUUUUCCAGGGAGUCUUCUCUUCUCAUGAGGUGGCCAAAGUAUUGGAGCCUCAGCUUCAGGAUCUGUCCUUCCAGUGACCACUCAAGGCUGAUUUCCUUAAGAAUGGAGAGGUUUGAUCUUCUUGCAGUCCAUGGGACUCUCAAGAGUCUCCUCCAGCACCGUAAUUCAAAAGCAUCAAUUCUUUGGCGAUCAGCCUUCUUUAUGGUCCAGCUCUCACUUCCAUACAUCACUACUGGGAAAACCAUAGCUUUAACUAUAUGAACCUUUGUUGGCAAGUGAAAUAUACUCAGAGUCGCAAAGUGAUUUCAUGCUCUUUAUUCAGCUCAUAGUAGUGAGGAGGAAUGAAUUAAUGUCCCCUCAAAGUAUCUGCUUUAUAUACAUUAUUUAGACAAUGGGCUGCACAUGAUUGGAAUUCUACUGUAAGCCAAUCAGGUUGUGGAUUCACUUAUAUCUGGAGCAUGAUUGGGUGGUUCCUGCCAACCAAUCAUACUGUUGCAUUUUGGAUCCUAUUGUUCUAGGACCAAUCAGACUGCUGCAGUUUGGAUCUUAUUCAACUCAGUACAUAACACCCCUCCCCUCUAAGUUCCAGUCCUGCCCGGGAGGUCGCAUUCAUAGUCCUUGAGGUACGCCGGCGGCCUACAUGUGCGUUGCGGCCUGGGGUGUUCCCUGGUCCAAGGUUCAGGUUCUGGCUCAUGUUCCAAGGAUGCUGGCUGUGAUGGGGCUGUUUGGUCUGGCGCAACCGGCUCGUUCAGUCGUGGCUCUGGUUCCGGUGUCCUUUCGGCCUCGCGGGUCCUCUCUGUAUUUACUGAUUUUGCCUCUCCUGCUGGCCCCUCCUGCUCUAUGGGCCUCACUGCCCCACUGUUCCCUUGGGACUCCUCUGACCUGUCCUCCUCCUGGUUUUCUCCCGGGAAUCGUCGCCGUAUCUAGUCGCAGUGGCGGCGCCAGCAUUGCCCCCCAUCCGUUAGCAUCUCGUACGACACGGGGCCAGUGACCCUGGUGACUGUGGCGGGUACCCAUGCUGGGCCUGCCCCAAAAUUCUUUGCAUACACUGGGUCCUGGGCCUCGAAGGUCCGGGGGUUCCUGCCUUCCCCCACCACUACCUCAUCCUGAGCUCUAUCGGGGUGAAGGCGGUCCAAUCUGAUUGCAAGGCGCCGACCCAUAAGUAGUUCAGCGGGGCUCCGGCCAGUCGUUGAGCUGGGGGUGCUGUGCUGUGCUAGGAGGAAUGUGGCAAGGUGGUACUCCCAAUCCCCUUGCGUCAUGCGGCGAAGGGUGUCCUUGGUGGUCUGCACCAUGCGUUCUGCUUGGCCAUUGGUGGCAGGGUGGAAUGGCGCCGAACGGAUGUGGCAGAUGGCGUUAUGUGCUGUGAAGGUUUGGAAUUCUCCUGACGUAAAUGCAGUCCCGUUGUCUGAGACGAGAGUCUCAGGGAGCCCGUGGGUUGCAAAGAGCCUGCAUAGUACCCGGAUGGCUGCGGACGUAGAAGUGGACGGUACCAGUGCGACUUCCAGCCAUUUGGUGUAGGAGUCCACCACUAUGAAGAAUGUUUUCCCCUGAAAGGGGCCAGCAAAGUCUACAUGCAGGCGUGACCAUGGUGCUCGGGUGGUCUCCCAGGACUGGACUGAGGCCCUUGGGGGAUCUUGGUGGGAUUCUUGGCAGGCCUGGCAGUGUUUGACCCAGGCCUCUAUCUCUCCGUCGAUCCCCGGCCACCACACAUAACUCCUGGCAAGGGCCUGCUUUCUUACUACCCCUGGGUGUGUCUCGUGUAGGGCUGUGAGGACCCUUUUGCGGAGGGGCUGGGGAACAACGACCCUGCUUCCCCAUAACAGGCACCCCUUGUGGGCCGACAGUUCCUGUUUGCGGGUUGUGUAGCCGGCGAAUUCUGGCCCAGGGCUGCUGCUGGGCCAUCCCCUCCACACCCAGUCCAGGACCCGGGAGAUGACCCUAUCUUUCUUGGAAUGGUGUGCAACUUCUUGUGCCUGAAUGGGGCGGUCGGGAAGCAGCUCCAGGCUCAUAACCUCUUGUGCAGGUGCUGGGUCGGGGCCUGUUUCCGGUAGUGGUAGCCUGCUGAGAACGUCCGCAUGGCCCAUUGCCUUCCCCGGGCGGUGAAUCAGUGCAUACUGGUAGCUGGCAAGGAAAAUUGACCACCUGAGGACGUGAGGAGACAGCACUUGGGGGUCUGCUUUCGGGGCAAACAAGCCAAGCAACGGCUUGUGGUCAGUCACCACGGUGAAGGGCCACCCAUACAAGAAAUCAUGGAAUUUUUUUACUCCCUUCACGAUUGCCAGACCCUCCUUGUCUAUUUGCGAGUAGUUCCGCUCGGUUGCGUUGAGUGUCUGGGAAAAGUAUGCCACCGGUACCUCUCUUCCAUCCGGGAGUUGGUGUCCCAGGACAGCGCCAAUGCCAUAGGGCGAGGCGUCGCAUGCUAGCACCACCGGCAGCCUCUCGUCGAAGUGUGCCAAGACCGAGUUUGAGACAAGCAAGUCCUUGACUGCCUGGAAUGCAGCCUCCUGGCGCUGGCCCCACACCCAAGGGGCCCGCUUGUCCAGGAGUCUGUGUAGGGGCUCUGCUACCGCCGCCUUGUGAGGAAGGAAGGAAUGGUAAAGUUCAAUAGUCCCAAGAAGGCCUGAAGUUCAGUCUUGCUCUUGGGCGCUGGGGCAUCACAAAUGGCCCGUACCUUGUCCCCAGUCGGGUGGACCCCUUCUGCGUCCACCAUAAAUCCCAGAAAGUCCACCUGAGGCACUCUUAGUAGACAUUUUUCCUGCUUCACCUUGAGACCCGCCGUCUGGAAACGGUGCAGAACGGUGCGGAGGCAGUCCUCAAACUCCUCUGGUGUGGGCCCGGCAAUCAACACAUCAUCGAAGAAGGGGGUGACACCAGGAAUCCCUUUAAGUAGCGAGUCCAUUAGAUUCUGGAAUAUGCCUGGUGCCACACUGACACCCAAUUGCAGCCGCUUUACCCUGAACGCUUCUCUGUGCGUCACAAUCGUCUGUGCCUCUGCUGUGGCCUCAUCUACUGGCAGCUGUUGAUAUGCUUGGGCCAAGUCCAGCUUGCCAAAAAUUUUCGACCCAGCCAGGGUGGCAAGGACAUGGCUGACCACUGGCACUGGGUAUGCAUGGGCCGUGAGGGCCUUGUUUAUGGUACAUUUGUAGUCUGCGCACAUGCGGACCGAACCAUUAGGUUUGACGGGUGUGACGAUUGGGGUUUCCCAGGGGGCAUUAGGCACCGGCUCCAGCACUCCUUGCUCCACGAGCCGGUCCAAUUCCUCGUCUAUACGGGGUUUCAGGGCGAACGGGACCCGGCGGGCCUUGAGCCUGACCGGUCAUACUGCGGGGUCAAGCUGUAGAGCAAUGGGGGGGCCCAUAUACUGUCCCAAUUUCCCAUUGAAAACCCCUGGAAAUUCCUUGCAUAUGGCGCCCACGUCCACUUGUAAGCUAGGGUGGUUCACCCCGGUGACGGCUAGCCCCAGUGGUCCAAACCAUGCCAAUCCCAGUAAGCUAAUGUAGGGGCCCUUGACCACAAGCAAGUCCAGUUGCCGCGUCCGCCCUCAGUAUUGCACCCUGAAGGUCCCCACCCGCAUUGUGGGGACCUUACGUUUCUGGAAGUCCCGGAGGGUGAAUGGGGCCGGCCUGAGUUUGGGACCCCCAGUAGGACACAGUUUCCUUAAGGUCCUUGCUGAGAUUAUGGAUAGAGUUGAACCCGUGUCAAGCUCCAUGCGGCAUGGGGCCCCCUCUAUCUGUACCUCUACAUAAAUUUUCUCUACGUUGGGGUGGGGCAACUGAUAUACCUGGAAGUCCGUGAGCUCCGUCAAGUUGCCUUGGUGCGUUGGGCCCCGGGACCUGGGGCUCUUGGAUUGGUCAUCUGAUGCCUGGCGUCGGGUGGGCCGAGCUCGACACACCCGGGCGAUGUGUCCCAAUUUUCUGCACUGCCUGCACUCUGCGGCAGGUCCUCCUCUCGUGACUUUCCCCGCAGCUUGCGCAGUUCCCUCCUUCUCGUCGAGGCAGCUGUGGUAUGUGGGCUGCUUGAGUGCGCUGCUGUACUCGGUGCACCUCCUCCCUGUCGGAUCCUGAGUCGUCGGUGAGGUCUUCGUGGUGGACUCUCGGUUGGGAUGGCAGGCUCGGCCGUGCCUCUUGCAUCGACCUCUCAGCAGCUUCCGUUGCCAGGGCCUCCUCCAGAGCGACCUGGAACGUUAGGUCCUUCUUAGCGUACAGGCGUCGUUGCAGCUUUUCAUCCUUCAGGCCACUGACGAGGCGGUCACGAAGCAUGUUCUCCAGCUCUGAGAAGUUGCAGAACUGGGCGGCUUGGCGGACAGAGGUCCCAAACCCAGUUAUGGUUUCCCCAGGGGCUUGCCGCUUUGCGUAGAAGGCAUUUCGACGAGCCACCACUGAGGGCUGCGGCGAAAAGUGCCCCUUCAGCUGUUCCAUUAUUGUUUUGUAUGGAACAGUAGCAACGUCUUCAGGCGCAAGGAGAGCCCGGGCGAUUUCAAACGUCUCCUCUCCGCAGACGCUGAAGAAUAUCGCCCUCUUCUUGGCGUCUUCUUCGUCGGUGACCCCUUUGGCUUCUAGGAGGAAGGUGAAACGGGAGGCAUACGCUUCCCAGUCUCCAGAUGCUGGGUUGAACGGUGAGAAGCUGCUGUCGGUUGCCAUUCUGAGUUCCUUGUGUCCCGGAGCUGAAGCCUGGAUACACGGUGCGAGGCAGCGGUGCGGCAGGUGGUGGUGCUGCGGUGCUAUGUGUGGCAGUCAGCUCAGCGGGAUCCCACCUUCGUCGCCAGUGAAAUAUACUCAGAGUCGCAAAGUGAUUUCAUGCUCUUUAUUCAGCUCAUAGUGGUGAGGAGGAAUGAAUGAAUGUCCCCUCAAAGUAUCUGCUUUAUAUACAUUAUUUACACAAUGGGCUGCACAUGAUUGGCUAAUUCUGGAAUUCUACUGUAAGCCAAUCAGGUUGUGGAUUCACUUAUAUCUGGAGCAUGAUUGGGUGGUUCCUGCCAACCAAUCAUACUGCUGCAUUUUGGAUCCUAUUGUUCUAGGACCAAUCAGACUGCUGCAGUUUGGAUCCUAUUCAACUCAGUACAUAACAGCAAGCGUAGUGAUAAAGCGGGAUAUCAAAUCCAAACUCUUCUUCUUCCUUCAAGCAUCACAAUAUGGCAGGAAUGGUUGUCAUACUCGCUGUAUCCUUUCAACAACUCCUGUGAGGUAGAUUAAAUUUAGGGCUGGUCACCCAGGGAAUAGUGACAUAUACGCAAAUGGGGCAAAACAGCAUAGAAAAAUGUGUUUGUUAGGAAAAAUUCACACCAAAAUGCUAAUUAAUGUUCAAGAGGACUUAAAAAACAAAAACCACAGAUGUGGAAAUGUGGAGAGCUUAAUAGUGUAAAAAUGGGAAACUGAGAGGAACUGAAAUUGGCAGUCACUCGCCUUAACUUGGAAAUGUCAAUCAAGGCACUCUUGCAAUCUGAAAAAUAUUCCGUGUGCAAAUUGCAAAAGUGACAAUCAUAAAAAAAUAAAAACCAGCUUCUCCUUGGUGGCCAUUCUGAACUCCCUUCACUCUUGGCAGAGCACUUAAGAUGGAUCGUUUUAUAGCUUGCCUUUUUUUGUACCGCUCAUCAAAUAGCACGCUAAUAAGCGUCAUAUCUUCUUUUCUGAAGAGCCUCAAAGCAAAUAUUUCAAAGGCAGGAAGAAGGGAAUACCUGAAGCUGUAUAAUUAUAGAGCUGGAGCUGUGUAGUGAAGAGUAUUUAGACAAAUGAUACCGAUGAAUUAUCAGGCAAGAGAAAGCUGGCUUGAUAAAACCGUAUUUAGGACACUAAUCCCGAGUGUUUGCUUGGCAUUUUCGAACCUUUUAAAAUGACAGGUUGUGAUCAGCAGCUUCCCUUAGAGGCUGGCAAGUUUCCUGCGCUAGCAUUUAACGUCUGUUUGAUGUUCUUGACUUUCGUGUCAAAUGUACAAGCUACUGUAAAGAUGUUGAGAACUCGAGAUAUAUAGCUGCGAUUAAAACAAUUAAUCCAUCUGGUUAUAAUUAAAGGCCCAAGUUAAUUGCAAUGACAACUGUAUAUAACUAAGCGAGUUCUCAUCUUUGAAAGGAGCUAUGUACUGUCAACAUUGUUUCUAAUGGGUGAUGGGCUAAUACCGUACAACCCUUACAUGACAGGAAAUUAAUUGCCAUUUGUUGAUAAUUAAAGCUCGCUUCAAAAAAUUAAAAAAAGACUGAGAAAAAUGAAGACUAAGAGAGGCCUUCUUUCCUCUCGCAUCUCCACCAGAUUUUUAGAACUUCUGAAUCUAAUUUUCCUAAUGUCUAACCAUGUCCAUUGUGUAAUUGAUCCUUUCUGUAGCACAUUUUCAUGUUCAAAACAAGGGUGGAAUUGGUAAUAUGGUGCCUUGAGCUAGGCCAAAAUUUGAUGCCCCACCCCCUGCCUUCAAACCGGGCUUUGGGAAGAAGGUGUGAGGAGUCUUAGAGCCUUCCCAUUUCCUCACAAACCUGGGAAAGAGUUGACUAGGCUUUGGGAAGUGGGGGACGACGACUCUAGGACCCUUUCAGAGCCUUCACGCCUCCUUCCCAUAGCCAAGUGUUAUGUACUGAGUUGAAUAGGAUCCAAAAGGCAGCAGUCUGAUUGGUCCUAGAACAAUAGGAUCCAGAAUGCAGCAGCCUGAUUGGUCCUAGAACAAUAGGAUCCAGAAUGCAGCAGCCUGAUUGGUCCUAGAACAAUAGGAUCCAGAAUGCAGCAGCCUGAUUGGUCCUAGAACAAUAGGAUCCAGAAUGCAGCAGCCUGAUUGGUCCUAGAACAAUAGGAUCCAGAAUGCAGCAGUUUGAUUGGUCCACAGGAGCCACCCAAUCCAGCUCCAGGUGGAAGGGAAUCCACAGCCUGAUAAGGCAGACAUUCUGGGGGAACUUCCAUUCCUCCUCACCACUAUGAGCUGAAUAAAGAGCAUGAAAUCCACUCUCGACUCCAAGUAUAUUUCACCAGGCAAGUGCUUACCACUGCCUGCCGCCCCCCGGUUUGGUGGCAGUGGCGUAGCGUGGGGGUGCAGGGGGGCCGGCCGCACCAGGCGCAACGUCUGGGGGGGCGCGCUUGCACUCGCAGCUCUCUGCCCCUACUAAAAUCUACGGGUUAGGGGGCGCAAAUUACUUGCCUUGCCCCGGGUGCUGACAACCCACGCUACGCCACUGUUUGGUGGUCAGUGUGUGGGAACCAGUCACACUGCCCUAAAACCGCCUCUAUUCAAAAUGGCAAAGAGAGAUAUGUGAGUUUCUUUGCUGAAGGUUGUGAUGAGCUUUGUAGCUAGGUGCAGUUUUGGAUCUGGAUCUCGAUUUCUGCAUGACUCCUUACUGGCCUAUGGAAACAGUAGUCAGAAUGCAGUACAGCUGUCAGGUCAAUGACAGUUAGUUGAGAUGAACUGAUAGACUGUUAAUAGCAUUUAAAUGUUCAGGUUUUACAAGUACAGUGGUACCUCGGGUUACAUACGCUUCAGGUUACAGACUCUGCUAACCCAGAAAUAGUACCUCAGUUUAAGAACUUUGCUUUAGGAUGAGAACAGAAAUCGUGCUCUGGUGGCGCAGUGGCAGCAGAAGCUAAAGUGGUGCUUCAGGUUAAGAACAGUUUCAGGUUAAGAACGGACCUCCAGAACGAAUUAAGUACUUAACCUGAGGUACCACUGUAAUCUUUGGCUUUGCAUAUGUGCCUGUGUGCGCACACAGAGAGAGAGAUAGCUCCUCAUUAACUUGUCCUGUUUGUCUUAAUAUGCUUGUUUACAAAGACCAAAGUAGACUCCUGUGACCUGACAUCAAAAUACUGUCAUUAAGGCAUAAUCUUAUGCUGACACUUAUCAUGAGUUUUGCUGCCUCAUCCAGCCAUUUGUUUGAGUUGUUUGGCCUUUUCGCUCAGUAAUUAGCCACAGGAAUUCUUCUGCUGAAAGCUAGAUAAAAUACCAUAAACACAGAGGGACUGUUAGAAUGCAAUCCUGGCCUUUCAAACAGAUUACAUUUUAUGGACUUCACUUUUUGUAUUGAAAUUAAUGAUUAAUGCAAUUGUCCCUAGCAGCCCCUCUAACUCCGAAAUACCGUGGUACCUCAGGUUAAGUACUUAAUUCGUUCCGGAGGUCCGUACUUAACCUGAAACUGUUCUUAACCUGAAGCACCACUUUAGCUAAUGGGGCCUCCUGCUGCCGCUGCAGCGCCGGACCACGAUUUCUGUUAUCAUCCUGAAGCAAAGUUCUUAACCUGAAGCACUAUUUCUGGGUUAGCACAGUCUGUAACCUGAAGCGUAUGUAGCCUGAGGUACCACUGUAGCUGCUUUGGGGGAACACCUCCAGCCCAAGAUCCAUAUCUAGGGAACUCCUGCACAAUGUGUAAACACCACCAAGCAGAUUAUUGAUGACUGACAGAACUGAUAGCGUUGACCACAUCUUUGUAGGAGUAAUAGUAAAGCCCUGUCAGUAAACAAUCUUCAGCUCUAUUUAUGGUUCCCUGGAUUGGGGUCAAUCUAUUUUCAACCCCUGAAAAGCUAAGGCAAAAGAAUUCUUUUCCUUUGCAGUCAUUUACUGCCAUAACGAAGCAGACAAGAUCUCAGGGGCUUCUGAGAAAAGAUAAGAUGAUAAACCUUUUUAUAAAAAAAGUGAUAAACCUAAGCUGAUAGAGAGGUGCACUCUAAGGUUUUGCAAGAUGCAGAUGGCCAAUUCUGAGUAGACUAGAUCAAGAAAGACUUUAAAUUACCAUUCAGCAUUGAAACAGAAGAAGAGGAAGAAGAGGAACCCCCAGUUAGGGGGUUCAUCUGGUGGAGAGACCACUUGUAGUAGCUUCUACCUGCCCACAGUUUCACCAGGUGCAGUGGCACCUCCAUAGUGACCAACUCUCCACCCACCUGAGCAGAGUUGGAGUGAUACUGAAAUAUACUCGGAGUCAAGAGUGGAUUUCAUGCUCUUUAUUCAGCUCAUAGUGGCGAGGAGGAAUGGAAGUUCCCCCACAAUAUCUGCUUUAUAUACAUUAUUUACACAAUAGGCUGCACAUGAUUGGCUAACUCUGGGAUUCUCCUGUAGGCCAAUCAGGUUGUGGAUUCACUUCCACCUGGAGCUGGAUUGGGUGGCUCCUGCGGACCAAUCAUACUGCUGCAUUGUUCUAGAACCAAUCAGACUGCUGCAUUUUGUAUCCUAUUCAACUCAGUACAUAACAGAUACCUUCACUGCUUCCUGAGCCAUGGGAAGUCAGGGAUUAAGACCACUCUGUUUUGAGUGGUUUGCAUCCAAUACAGCAGGGCUGUCCAAUAGGUCGGUCGUGAUCUACUGGUCAACAACUUUGUCUCCCUAAAAAAAGCGCUCAACAACUUUGGUAGAUCACUGCCAGUUUUUUUUAUAGUGGGAGUAAAUCGCAGUUUCUUGGAAGUUGGACAUGCCUACAAUACAGAAACUGAGACAUGCCGCCCUUUCUGUCUUCUCCUGUAGCUACCAUGCACCCAGUGUGACUGGGCCAUUAGAAUCCAUGUCAACAUGUCGAGAUGUUAGCUGAGUCAAUGUUGAGGAUCUAGAAUAAAUUGAAUACUCAAAUAUUGCGCGGGGGAGGGGUUGUGUGAGUGUUUUUAAGAAUUUCUUUCAAGAUGGACAGCUUAAACCAUUUAGGGGAACAUUUUUUCCACAGGUUUUAGCUGCUUAAAAAUAGAACGAAAAACAUAGAUGCCUUUUAAGUGUUCCCAGGCCCCCUUGAGUCGAGAUGUUUUACAUUUCAUGUGGGGAGAAAAUAGGCACAGCUCGAAUGUAAUGAUAUUCAGCCUUUUCUCAUACUCCACUAUGCUAAAGUAGUUGAGGUUGACCUGCGAGAAGCCAACAACUUAGGUGCUGGAGGCUUAAAUAAAAGGUUUAAGGAAGACUUUGUUCAUAUAAUAAAUUUCAGCCCACCUUUUAUAGCUUCUCCCUCACUCCCACCGCCGCUCCCACCCACCCUUUCUGCCGGCCCAGACAAGAUCCCUGCUCAGCACAGUUCUAUAACUAUUUGCUACCAAGCUGCACUGGAAGGAGUCAAUUAAGUGCUAUUUUAAACAGUCUUAUAUAGUUAAUAUUCCUAUGUUCAAUGCGUGUGUGUUUUUCUUGUAACUCAGAAGACCACCUCUCUUCUUUGCCUAUUUUAAUAAAUUCAGCAUGCUGUGUGAAGCUUUUGCCAACAAAAGCAUUGCCCCUCUCUUUCAUAAGAAGGGGAGAAUGAUUCCCAUCAAAGGCCACAAACGACUGCCAUGGCAGAGAAGGAAGGCAACCUUCCCAAAGCUGGUGAAGUGAGGGAUUAUAAGCCUUAAACACUGUUUUCCGAAAUAGCCCCAAACCCCUCCAUUUCUGCUUCUGUAGGAACUAUCAGUGUCAGUGUUAAGUGUGAAUCAACUCCUUCUAAUCAGGCUCUGAAAAUCAAAACAAACACCUGAAAGGAUGUGCGUAGAUUUUCCAAGGAUUGCUGCAAGACGCACACCCAUCAUGCCCAUCUUUCAUGCCUUUCCUUGGAAACAAGUCAUGGAUGGGACCAGGUGAACUUAUUUGCAGGUCAUUGGGUGGCAUUCAACGAAUGCAUCCUGCCAAUGCAAGGAUUUCCACUUGUGUCAACAGGAUUUUUCCCUCCCUGUGGCAUGUGCUCCAUACCCUCCCCAAAUCUGCUUCAGAGAGUGGUAAAAGGUAAAGGUAAAGGGACUCCUGACCAUUAGGUCCAGUUGUGACCGACUCUGGGGUCGCAGCACUCAUCUCGCUUUAUUGGCCGAGGAAGCCGGUGUACAGCUUCCGGGUCAUGUGGCCAGCAUGACUAAGCCGCUUCUGGCAAACCAGAGCAGCGCAUGGAAACGCCGUUUACCUUCCCGCCGGAGCGGUACCUAUUUAUCUACUUGCACUGAUGUGCUUUCGAACUGCUAGGUUGGCAGGAGCAGGGACUGAGCAACGGGAGCUCACCCCGUUGCAGGGAUUCGAACCACCGACCUUCUGAUCGGCAAGCCCUAGGCUCUGUGGUCCCUUCAGAGUGGGGGGACCCCCAUAAUAGUUUUAGGGGGAACGUAGAGGGAAGAGAGGAGGGAGUCCCAUUAUGCAACUGGAAUUGCUUGUGCUGAUGGGAGCCUUGCUGAGCGCCAUGUUGGAUACAAUCCAAUGUGCUUAGGUUUAGGGAUGAGAGGGCUAGUAUGGGGGAAUGGUUAAAAUGUCGGAUUAUGAUGGAAAGCUGGCUAUAAAUACAUGCUUGUCUGCAAAGCUCAUUGAGUUGACCUUGGGGCAGCCACUUGCACCCAGGGUGGUUCCCCUUGGUCCUUCAGAUAUUGCUGGACCAUGACCCAUCAUCCCUGGCCAUUGGCCAUUGCUGGCUGUGGCAGAUCACCUCUGAAGGCCAGCAAGUUGACUUAGGCGUUCUUUCAUCACCUAUACCAAAAAGAGAGUUCAGAAUCAUCUGCCCCAGCAGUGCAACAUGGCAGUGAAGACCACAGCCAGUCUGGAGGAAAAAGGAGAUCACAGAACUCUUGCUGUUCUUCACACACCAAUGACUAUUACUCAGAAGCAGAAAAUGGGGCAGGGAAAUGUCCUCUGAAGUCUGUUUCAACUAUUGUUAAGAGACAGCGCAGAGCUUCAGAGCUGAAGUCAAUUUGUUUCCCACUUCUUUCAUCUCCUCCCUCAGCUUCUCUCUCUCAGCCUGAGGAGGAUGGCUCGUCCAACAAUCUUUCAACAUCCCUUGUCAACAAGAUAGGCCUGCAGCGUAUAUGCUCAGUAUGAAGCCUACUGAAGAAAUUCUAAGGGAAAUUAACCAGUAGCCUAGCAACCUUGUGUUUGACUCUUUUUAAAAAUGAAAAUAACAUCAGAGGAAGUGACUAUACAAAGAAGAGGUCUGAUGUGUGGGCUGCCUAAUAGGAGGAAGAUAUUCAUGAAUAUUUGCGGAUAGGGGGCAGAAUUAUUCAUACCAAUGCACGAGCCAGUUCUUCAGCUGGUAGAAUUCAGCCUUGCAGAUUACAGUGGUAUCUUUCUGCCUAUCACAUUUGUUUUUCUUCAAAGACGUCUAUGCAGCUCACAAAAAAAUAUUCAUGACACCAUCCUCAAAACCAGAGAAAACAAAAGAAAGCUUAGGGAACCCGCAAAGAUUGCCAGAUGAUAAUCAGGGCCACCAGUCCUGGUUUUUUUCUGCUCUGUGGUGAACUGGGUUUCCCCUCUUUACGCUCCUCGAAGAGCACACAAAUACUUUUCUUGAAACCCAUUGUUAAUCUCUCCUCUUCCUCUUUGAGUCAGGCUGUCCAUCUUUCUCUCAAGUGCCCAGCUAUUUACCUUGCGUAAACAUUUGUUUGGCAUCUUUUAAACAGGCACAUUUGGUUUUUGUUACAUUUGGAAAAUUGUUCUUGGGAAAGGGAACAGUGGCUUUAUGACUGUUACGAGGCUCGGCCAUUUUGCCACACCUGGAUUAAAAUGGAGUAGCCUCAUAUAAUUGGUUUGCUGGUCAGAUCUGGCCAGUAGACCAACCAUUGGCUUACUGAAUGGCAGUACCAUUUCUGACUGGAAGCCCAACUGAAAUACACCCCCUUAAAUCUGUGGUGCUCUCUGGAGCAGAUUACCACAAGCAUGUAGGAUUUAGAGACCAACACAUCUCAGUUUUCUGGAAAGGUUACAGAGCCAUUCCAUUGUAAGUGUUUUGUUAUGAUUUUCUGAGAUCUGAGGGUGAAUGAGGAGUUGAAGAAUGUAUGGAGUUGAAGAAUGUGUAUGGCCAAAGCAUGGCUAUUGGGUAGUAUACUAUAAAUGCCCAGUGAGGAAGGUGCAAGUAUUUGGGGCUGUAAAUCAUAUGUGUAAAUCUAGGAAAUUUGGUCAUUUUAUUCUGUAGGUGCACAUAACUAGUGUUUGCAUUGAAGGCUCUUUCAAUGUUGGGGCAUGAUUUGCAGGGAUGUGCAAGCCCUAUACUUUGAACAUUAGUGAUAUGUGCAAAUAUAAAAAACCCAACUCUCACUUUCUGUAUUUGUGCAUUGAUUCCCCAUCCAAAACCAUUUUCACAUGAAGAAGCCAUGAGUUCACAUCCGUACUCACCAAUAGAAUCUUUGAGUAUCUUUGGGAUUAGAGAGAAGAGGAGCUUUUCAUUCUCUGUUUCUCACAUUUAACAUGGAGAUGUUUAUUUUAUUUAUUUGUUUUAUUCUAUUUCUUAUCUGCCCUUUACCGGUAAAGACCCAGAGCAGGUUACAACAAUACAAAAUACAAUUACAAAACAAAACUGGUUCAACCCUAAUACAAGAAAAGUGUAAAAGCAUUUCCAUUCAUAAACAAAUCUUUUUUAUAUACGGUAAUAACUUUUAUUAGUUUUCAAUUACAAUCCAAUAAUAGUCUCAUUAUAACAAUACCAAUUUAUAAUACAAUUAUUAAUACCAAUAGUUCAAAUACCAAAUUAUAAAAUUUAGAUAAGGUGCCCCCCUAUAUGCUAGAAUUGAUGGCUUGAGUAUUUGCUUUCUUUCUGCGUUCCAAAAUCUUAUUCAUUUCCAUUACAUUCCAGUCAUCAUCAUAAUUCCUUAUACAACAACUGCAAUAUUAAUAACUUCUAUUUGUGUUGACACAUUAAAUGAUUUAUAAAACUACAAGUUUAUCUUUGUUCUUCCUAUGUGUGGCAAUUAUUCUGUCUGUGGUGUUUCUUCCUGUCCUUGUAAGAUGUUAUGUCUUUCUUUCCCCCGGUUGUUGCUGUUAUCCAUCAUGCCUUGGGCAAAGCUGAUAUCCCAUUGUUGUUUCAGAAAUUUCUCCAUUCCUCUGUCCCAGGCUUUGUUGUUUCGCAACUUUAACAACAGCUGCAAAAAUCACUCUGUCCCAAUAUUCAUAAACAAAUCCUCAUCUAAAAACAACGAAAGCAGUUAAAAAUAGUUCCAGCAGAGAUGCAGAUACUGAUGACCGACCUAAAAACAUAAGAAGAGCCUACUGGAUCAGGCCAAUGGCUUGUCUGGUCAUGUAACCUAUUCUCAUAGUAGCCAACCAGAUGCAUGGGGAGAAAACCACAAGCAGAAUUCAAGCACAAGAACCCUCUGCCCUCCUGCCAUUUCCAGCAACUGGUAUUCAGACGCAUUGCUCCCUCAAACUGUGACAGCAGAUCCUAGGCAUCGUGGCUAGUAGCCUUCAAGAGCCCUCUCCUCCAUGAAUUUGUCUAAUCCUCUUUGAAAGCCAUCUAGAUUUGUGACCAUCACGGCCUCCUCUAGGCAUAAGUUCCAUGGCUGAACUGUGUGAACAAGUCCUUUCCUUUUUCUGUCCUUUUAUAUGAGUUGUUACACAUAUGAAAAAGGACUGUCAAUAACGUGGUCACCUGAGAAGAAACGCAUCAUCAAGACAGAGGGCCAAAGAGGGCAUAGAUUUGCAUGCAAUUUGCAUGUGCCAACAUUUGAUGCCGAUUUUGAAAUGGACAGCUGUCCAGGGCAGCUGUCUUCCAGCUCAGUCUGGUACACAGGCUGAGACCCUGUCUGCCCGCAGACUGUCUCACCAGAGAGAUGCAUGCUCUGGUUAUCUCCUGCUUGGACUACUGCAAUGCGCUCUAAGUGGGGCUACCUUUGAAGGUGACCCGGAAACUACAACUAAUCCAAAAUGUGGCAGCUAGACUGGUGACUGGGAGUAGCCGCCGGGACCAUAUAACACCAGUCCUAAAGGAUAUACAUUGGCUUCCAGCAUGUUUCUGAGCACAAUUCAAAGUGCUGGCGUUGACCUUAAAGCCCUAAAUGGCCUUGGCCUUGUAUACCCGAAGGAGCAUCUCCAUCCUCAUCGUUCAGCUGAGGUCCAGCUCCAAAGGCCUUCUGGUGGUUCCCUCACUGCAAGCCACAGGGAACCAGGCAGAGGGCCUCCUUGGUAGUGGUGCUCGCCCUGUGGAACGCCCUCCCAUUAAUGACAUCAAUAAUAAUUUCAGUCUCAUUAAUCCAGUUGGGGCCGAUGGCCAUGGUCAUUUGUCAUUUGAUGAAAUCUGUUCUUGGGCUUAAGCUCAGCAUUCAACUAUAGACAAAGAUCAGCUGCCUCCCACUCUGCUUGCUGAGGAAUUCACUGAUGGGUGCAUGACCCUUCCCUCAUCCGACCUGUCAACACCAGGUAACUUGCCACUGUUCCUCCUUUGCAGUUUCUAGUUCUAAAUGGGGGGCAAACAGGAAUUGAACUUUCGCUCUCAAGAGCACCUGCCUUUGCUAUCUCUGGGGGCCGAGGGAGCAACUUCAGACAGUAUCAGGCCAUGCCAUGUCCCGACACUUGACUCACAAAGUGGCACUGGUGUUUGCUCACAUCCAGAUGUAGAUAGUGGCUGUCAGCAGGGAGAGAUGCAGGGAUGGGAAUGGAACAGAAAAAGGGGUGCUCUCUGCUUGCGGGGGGGAUGUUGCUCUGUGCUAAAGCAGUUGCAUUGUGUGUGGAACACCCCAAGUUCAAUCUGUGACUUUUGCCGCUAGGCUGGGAAUUUCUUCUGCUAGGAUCCAUAGGGAAGUGAGAGCUGGACCAUAAAGAAGGCUGAUCGCCAAAGAAUUGAUGCUUUUGAAUUAUGGUGCUGGAGGAGACUCUUGAGAGUCCCAUGGACUGCAAGAAGAUCAAACGCAUCCAUUCUUAAGGAAAUUAGCCCUGAGUGCUCACUGGAAGGACAGAUCCUGAAGCUGAGGCUCCAAUACUGUGGCCACCUCAUGAGAAGAGAAGACUCCCUGGAAAAGACCCUGAUGUUGGGGAAGAUGGAGGGCACAAGGAGAAGGGGACGACAGAGGACGAGAUGGUGGGACAGUGUUCUCGAAGCUACCAACAUGAAUUUGACCAAACUGCGGGAGGCAGUGGAAGACAGGAGUGCCUGGCAUGCUCUGGUCCGACCUAGAAGAGUCGGACACGACUAAACGACUAAACAACAACAACAAAGGAUCCAUAGAGAGCUGUUGCCAGUCACUGUGAACAAUAUUGAGCUAGAUGGACCUGUGGUCUGAGUAGAUAUCUACUAUGUUCCUUGAAAGCAGUGGUUCUCAAAGUGGGUGGUACCGCCCUCUGGUGGCCGGAGGGAUGACGUAGAGGGGCGCUAAGGGGCAAGGGGACAGCAGAGGGCCCCUGGAAGUGUAAAUGACUAUCAGACUUUGCAAAGCUGGUCUCACUGGGCGAUGUUCAUAAGUUUUGUUGAAUUACCAUAUUUUUUGCUCUAUAAGACUCACUUUUUCCCUCCUAAAAAGUAAGGGGAAAUGUGUGUGCGUCUUAUGGAGCGAAUGCAGGCUUCACAGCUAUCCCUGAAGCCAGAACAGCAAGAGGGAUUGCUGCUUUAACUGCACAGCGAUCCCUCUUUCUGUUCUGGCUUCUGAGAUUCAGAAUAUUUUUUUCCUUGUAUUCCUCCUCCAAAAACUAGGUGCGUCUUGUGGUCUGGUGCGUCUUAUAGAGCGAAAAAUAUGGCAAUUAAACAAACUAGUUUUAACUGGAUUUUUUAAAAAAAUAAAUCUGCAAUUGAUUGUUACUGUUGUGAAUUCUGUUGUGUUAUUACCUUCCUAUUCUGCAUUAUACAGAAUACCUCCGCUAUUCUGUAUAAUGCUUUUUAUAGGAUAGGGGGGCGCUGAGGAUGAGCAAACAUCUGAGACAGCAGGUGCGCAUGCGCUGAUGACUGCACAUGCACAGAUGACAGCUUUGUGAAUAGGAGUUCCAGGGUGGCUGUAGGGGCAGGGAAACAAAAAAAGAAAACGUGUGCGUUUGGCGAAGACAUCCCCGCCGCCUCUCUGAUGCAAACAUCGCAGUUCAAAUGCGACUUGAAAUCCAGCUGUGGAGGUGGGGGGGCGGGUGACAUUGCUGCAUUUUAAGCUGCUACUGUGAACAUACCCUAAUAAUCUAGUAGUCGAUGGCCCAAUGGCUGGGCUGAGCACGAGGCAGCUUUGAGUGUUCAGUGAUGUGCUCCCACAUUCGCCCUUGUUCCUGAACUGGCUCUGCACCCUGACCUAGAAAGAGGGAAGAGCAGCUCCGGGGAGAGGUCAGAGAGUUGUGGUGAAAGCACCUGCUAGCAGAGAGAGAGAGAGAGAGAGAGAGAGAGAGAGAGAGAGAGAGUUCAGCUUCCCCAAGAAGCAUCCAAAACUGUAGAGGCAUUUAGUGGCUGCUCUUUUAUCAGUGCAGCUGCAAGUGGCAAUUCUGCCUUCUGACUGGCCUGUGCCUUUGUUCCUUCGGAGCUGAAAAUGCCCCCCAAAUCCUUUCUUUGUACCAGGAUUAUAUGCUUGAAAAGAACUGAACAAAUUGCAUUUAGAGUGAUCCAAAUGGUCCAUUUCCCUUAUUGUGCUGUUUUAAAAGCUGGGAGGGGGAGAGGAGUGGGGGGAGAAAGGACUGACAGUGCUUAGGAAUCGGAGCAUAGUUGGCAACUAAUGGCAUUAAUGCCUGAUAGAAAGAUUGAAUCAGCUUUAAUUAUCACAUGCAAUUACGAGAGCAGAUUUCUCCCAAAGACAAGGGCCCGCUUUCCCACAACCAUAGGCAUCCCCUCAGCCUUCGUGCGUUUUCCUUCGAGAAUCAUCUCACGUGCCUUGAGAUGCACAUUAAAUUUUGUUAAUCUCAUUAACAGCCCCUCCUAGCAGUUUUUUCCUCUAGGGUUUUCUAAUCUACCUGCUCUGCAAAGAACAUAAGAAUUGUCCUGCUGGGGUAUUGAAAUCAAUGGGGUUUGGUGUGCCUGAGUCUGUAUAUGGUUGGGGCUCCUAGGCCAUACUCACACCAUAUAUUUAAAGCACUGUGAUACCACUUUAAACAGUCACAGCUUUCCCCCAAAGAAUUCUAGAGCUCUGGUUUGUAAAGAGUGUUGUGAGAUCCCUAUUCCCAUCUGGGAGCUAUAAUUCCCGAGUAUAAUCAUAGAAUUGUAGACUUGGAAGUGACCCCAGAUGUCAUCUGGUCCAACCCCCACAAUGCAGGAAUCCUGCCCAUACCUGUCCCUGGGAGGGCUCGAACCGCCAACCUUCUGGUUAACAGCCAAACACACUGACGCACUGAGCCACAGAGGUAUAGUUUAACAAUGAAUCUCUUCCCUAAGAACUCUGGGAACAGCAGCUCUGUUAAAUGAAUAAAGGUAAAGAGACCCCUGACCAUUAGGUCCAGUCGUGACCGACUCUGGGGUUGCGGUGCUCAUCUCGCUUUAUUGGCCGAGGGAGCCGGCGUACAGCUUCCGGGUCAUGUGGCCAGCAUGACUAAGCCGCUUCUGGAGAACCAGAGCAGCGCACGGAAACGCCGUUUACCUUCCCGCCGGAGCGUUACCUAUUUAUCUACUUGCACUUUGACGUGCUUUCGAACUGCUAGGUGGGCAGGAGCAGGGACCGAGCAACGGGAGCUCACCCCGUCGCAGGGAUUCGAACUACCAACCUUCCGAUCGGCAAGUCCUAGGCUCUGUGGUUUAACCCACAGCGCCACCCUAGGUUAAAGGAAUAAGGGUCGCUUAAUAAUUCUUAACCGGCUACAUUUCUCUGGACUCACUGGGAGAAGCCACAGCUGCUUGAAGUGGUACAAUAGUGUUUUAAAUGAAUUGUGUGAAAAGGUGGCUGUAGAUCGCAUUCCCCGUCUACCCAGAAUAAAGCUAGCCUUAAUUACAGCCAGUGUUAUGUUGGAUAGAUUGGAGCUGUAAAGACAACUUGUUUUAAAGGAACUUCUGAACUAGGCAGCUGUCUACUGGAUAAUUCAGAUAAGCAGCGUUUUCCUGGGGGAGAAAACAUUUUUCUUGUCAGGUUGCGUGUCGAGGUCCCCAAGCCACCCCCCAAAUAACUCACAACGCACACUUAAUUUUUGUUUAAGGUUUUUGGCAUAAUUUUGGCCACAACUUUAUUUAAAUACAAAACCGUGAGUGGUUGUUUAGGCAUUGGUUAAGACUAUCUGUCCCCCCGCCUGGGGACAGAACUGACUUCCGGGCACCACCGAAAGACAGUGAAGGGGAAAGCAAGUCGGAGAGAAAUGGAGCUGGGUCACAGACCCUCAAUUCUCAUCCGCAUGCUCCCCGAAGGCUUGCCGGCCCUAGUCCCAUUCCAGGGAUUGGACGAAAAGAUGGCAAGCCCCAGGAUUCCUUUAACGGAAUUCCCUUCCGCAGCAACCAUGGAGGGGCAGGCCCAGCCUAUCCUAACCCCUCCUCCACCAAUUUAUAACCAAUGCCUAACCACAACCUUACAAGUUGUGACGAUUUGCUACGCAGUAGGCAAAAACCAAAUGGCCCAGCCAAUCAGCCAGAUGGACAAAAUUCCUACCAGGCCCCUGCCCCAACGGCAGACGACCCCAUGACAGGCAUAGCAAGGUCAAUGCAACAACCCCUUACUCAAGGGCGGGUGGGCGGGUGAUCCGGUGCACGCAGCAAAGAGAAAGCUCCAGGCUGCGUGCAGAGUAUUUAAACAUUUUACCCCUCCCACCAAAAUUGCAACAUAACUUUUACCCCAGCAACCCAGUGAACCAAUCACUGCCCCAGGCCAUCUUUAGAGACCCUGCCUGGUAACAGAGGGGUGGCUCAGCAGACCCCACCGCAACACGUGCUCUCCAUGAAGGAGAACACGCUUUAUCAUACAACACACAACACCCCCACAGGAUGCACCUACACACACACCCCAAACAGGAAUUUCCCCCAUUAGAAAAGUGGAUAUGAAUCCGUUAUGCUAACACAAGUGCAGGAGGUUAUAUGAUCCUUGGAACUGCUGCAGCAAGUGGACAGUGACCCAGUAGGGACCCAUACCUUACCCACUGAAUAACGUGGAAGGGGACAUGAAAUGGCCAAUGGGAAAGGCAGAACUUUGGUUUGGCAGAUGACCUGCCAUUUGCACAUGGCCAAAAAGGAAGGCUGCCUGGCAUCUACUUAGUCAUGGAAACCUCUUUGAAUUGUUCUGCUGGCACUGUUAAGGUCAAGGAGGCUUUCUGUCGCUGGCUGUUCUUUGAGGAACCAUUUUUCUGAGAAGUGUUGUUGGGGGGAACAGUAAGCAGCGGACACAUUCAAUUAUCAGAGUUUAUUCCUUGUCAUGAGAAGCAGUGUCCUGCUAUUAAAAAACAACAACAACUUUGGUUGUGAGAAGGGAUAUUCUUACUAAUUUUGCAUUGAGACUACAACAUACAGUCUGCAUUUUAAUGUUAUAUUUUAAUCUUGUUUUUAGGUUGUAUUUUAAUCAAUUGUUUUUUAAUCUGGUGUUAGCCGCCUGAGCCCGGUCUUGGCUGGGGAGGACGGGGUAUAAAUAAAUUCAUUAUUAUUAUUAUUAUUAUUAUUAUUAUUAUUAUUCCCUGAACCACUGCAAGGCUUGGAACCUCACCAGUAAGGCACUAGGACCCUAAUUCUUGCACCGCCAUAAGGACUAUUUUGAAGUUUGGCCCUCACUUCUGGAGACAUUUUUGGAGUGGGUGAGAUGAUAGCACUUUCAGCAAAAAGGGUGUGGUUUGGAUCUUUAUGAAUGAAAGGGGAAAUGGGCUGUGAGACAUUGGUCACAACCAAUGCACUCUUAUAGAAGUCUGAGAGUCAUGGCUUCCCCCAAAGAAUCCAGGAAACUGUGGUUUGUUGAGAGGGUUUGGAAUUGUAGCUCUAUGUGGGAUAAGCUACAGUUCCUCGGUGUCUUAGGGAAUGUGCUUCCAAUGAAUGGCGCAUAUUCUGGAGUGUGCCUUGAGUAUGCAAUGAGGGGGGUCUUCUUCCUCACUCCUAACAGUCUGGACACACUUCAGUUGUCUCAUAAGGCACAGCUGGAUUGGCAUAUCCAAAAAACAACAACGCUAAAAUAAGCACGGUCUUUUAAAAACUUGCACAUUCUUCUUUUGUUUUUAAUGAUUUGGAGGCAUCUAAAAUUGACAUACUCAACCUUUGCAUUUCAGCCACAAUCGCCUGGGCUAUUAUUUUUAUGUGAACACUGAGAUUCCUGCAAAUGUUGGCUUUUAAAGAGCAGUAAAAUAAUGAGGCGCACACACAAAAAGCUGCCAGAGUUGGCAACCUUGCCAUCAGCUAUGUGAAGUGACUUCCAAUGUGCCACUAAGUAGGUGCUGGCAAGCCUUUCUCUCUUAAUAAUCUGCACCAUUGUCAAACAUAAGCAAUCAAAACCUGGAUUCCAACCCUCUGCAAAUUGAGCUCUGCGGCCUAAUAAGGGGAAUGGUAUUUGGAGACCAGUUUUCGCUCUCCCUGUCGGCCUGAUGGAAGCUAAUUCUGUGGAACGGAAAUGUCUCAGACCUUUGCAAUAUAGAUGUGCUGUGUGACAUAAGCAGGUCUGUCCAGUUGGUGACCCCUCAGUCAAACACAGCCCCCCCAACUGCCACUGAGGACUCGGUGACCCUGCUUUUUCCUGUCUGGCUGGGGUUGUGCAACAGGAUAAUUGUCAAGCACCUCAGAGGCCCCAAUGACUGACUGUUGGCCUGUAUUCAGCUUGAAGAAUUACAAGUUACAGUGGUACCUCAGGUUAAGUACUUAAUUUGUUCCAGAGGUCCGUUCUUAACCUGAAACUGUUCUUAACCUGAAGCACUUUAGCUAAUGGGGCCUCCUGCUGUUGCCGCGCCGCCGGAGCACAGUUUCUGUUCUCAUCCUGAAGCAAAGUUCUUAACCUGAAGCACUAUUUCUGGGUUAGCGGAGUCUGUAACCUGAAGCAUAUGUAACCUGAAGCGUAUGUAACCCGAGGUACCACUGUAUUUAGAGCUGCCAUAUAUGGAUGGGACUGAACACAGGAAACAUGGGUGUAAAUUCUAGUUCAGCCAUAGUCUGCCUUCGUGUCCAAGGGUAAGUCUCUGGCCCUGUUCAGCUAAGUGGAAUGAAAGCUAACAGUUUGGACGAGGCAGGUGAGAAAAUGAAGUAGGUCAAGAACAUCAAGUUAGAACAGGGGUCAGCAAACUUUUUCAGCAGGGGGCCGGUCCACUGUCCCUCAGACCUUGUGGGGGCCCGGACAAUAUUGUUUUGGGGGAAAUGAACGAAUUCCCACAAAUAACCCAGAGAUGCAUCUUAAAUACAAGGACACAGCAUUCUACGCAAGAGCACCAGGCAGGCCCCUCAAAUAACCCAGAGAUGCAUUUUAAAUAAAAGGACACAUUCUACUCAGGUAAGCCGCCACCACCACCACCCAACUCUCCCCUCCCUUUUCCACAGCACCGGACGAGCCGCAGUGGCUGUUUACCUGUGUCUUGUGAGCAGCAGUGGCUGGUGGCAGCGGCACCAUGAUCAACUCCUGCCUGGAAACAUUUGUCUCCACUGUGGAAGGACGUAUGGAUCCAGAAUUGGCCUCCACGGUCACUUACGGACCCACUGUUAAAACCAUGUUUAUGGAAGAAGAAGAGGAGGAGGAGGAGGAGGAGUUUGGACUUGGCAUCCCGCUUUAUCACUACCCGAAGGUGUCUCAAAGCGGCUGACAAUCUCCUUUCCCUUCCCCACAACAAACACUCUGUGAGGUGAGUGAGGCUGAGAGACUUCAGAGAAGUGUGACUAGCCCAAGAUCACCCAGCAGCUGCAUGUGGAGGAGCGGAGAUGCGAACCCGGUUCACCAGAUUACGAGUCCACCGCUUUUAACCACUACACCAAAUGCGAAAGGGCUCCGGAGAAGGGCUGGCAGCAACAAAGCCCGAAUUGAUCCUGCUUACAAUGGCAACUGCUUGAGUGCUCCCGCUGCUGCUGGCACCAACAAAGCCCAGUCCCUUUCCUCUCAGCUCUAGGCAGAGUGGGGAGAAGCCAGGAGGAGGCGCUGCUGAAUCCGCAUGCUGGCACAGCCCGAACAAUCAGAUCCAUGACAAUCCAUAUGGUGAUUCCCAGACCGUCUGUAAAAAGGUAAAGGACCCCUGGACAGUUAAGUCCAGUCAAAGGCAACUAUGGGGUUGCGACGCUCAUCUCGCUUUCAGGCCGAGGGAGCCGGCGUUUGUCCACAGACACCUUUCUGUGUCAUGUGGCCAGCAUGACUAAACCGCUUCUGGCACAAUGAAACACCAUGAAGGAAACCAGAGUGCACGGAAACGCUGUUUAACUUCCUGCCACAGCGGUACCUAUUUAUUUACUUGCACUGGUGUGCUUUCGAACUGCUCGGUUGGCAGGAGCUGGGAUAGAGCAACGGGAGCUCACCCCAUCACAGGGAUUCAAACCGCCAAUCUUCUGAUCGCCAAGCCCAAGAGGCUCAGUGUUUUAGACCACAGUGCCACCAGCAUCCCUAGUUAGGAGGAGAACAGUUUAACCCUCAGCGACCUUGAAAUAAUCCAUACAACCUGUGUCUUGUAUACUUUUUGUCACAUGCCUUUCCCCACCUUGAUCUCAUUCAUUCAUAGUUCUUUGUAGCAAAACAGAGACAGGUAAACAGGUGCCCUAGCUAUGGUUUAGCUCUCUGGGAUUUCCUGAACGAGAUAAAGAUGUGCAUAUGUCUUACUCUCUUACUUUCCUUAAAAAUUCUCUGUAGAACAUAGUGACGAAUUCCACAUGGGAAAUUCCCAGUUAGGGGGAAAUGCAGCUGGAUCUGCAUUGAGUACAGAAUAGCUCCAAUCACAGAACUGUAAAGUUGGAAGGGACCCUGAGAAUCAUCUAUUCCAACUCCCUGCAGUGCAAGAAUAUGCAGCUGUCCCUGUCAUGAAAUUCUACUCAAUAUUGAUCCAGAGUUGAUUCCAAUGUCUAGUUAGCAGAGUAACAACUUAAACACGUUGCAGGAUUCCCAAAAAAUAGAACAGAGGCAAUUAUAUUUCAUCUGGCAGAGCUUUACUGCAACCGAAGGCAAAAAUGAGCAUCAUGGUCACAAAUCCAGUACAUUCAGGAUUGGCACUGUCCAUAAGAAACCCAGUUGCAGUAGACAUAACUUAAACUUACAAUAACUUAUAGUAAGUCUAAACUUUAACACUAAGCAGAUUAUGUACGGAACACCACGCCAGAAGGAAAAGAGAAGAGAAAGUGAAACUCGGGCUCCUUCUGACCUUACUUUUAAAGUCAGCAUGACCUUUUUGACUGAAAGAGAGAAGAGAACCAGUUUAAACCAGCUGUACUCAGCUUCUCUGAAGGAAUAACCCAAACAUCAUGAACCUUCUGCUUGUUUCACAAAGACAAGCUUUCAAAACCCUCUUGAAUUAAUUAGAAUAGGAAGGAUCUCUACACAUCAUACUUGGUACUUUCUGUACCAAGAAAUGCAAACUGACAGUCCCAUAUGGAGAUCAAACUUGCAACCUUGGCAUUAUCAUCAGCACCAUGCUCUUACCAACGGAGCUAUCCAGGUGUACAUACAGAUCCUUUUUUACAAAAAAAAGAAGAAGAAAUGUGGGGCAGGAUGGAGAAGUUGAAGAUACAACCAGCUGAGAAUGGGCUUCAUUUGUCUCUUUUUAUGAGGAUUGGGGAUACAAACAAAAACAGAAGCAUUUGUAUCUCUCCUGAGAUAUGGAGUGUUGUAAAUUGGGGUGACAUAGGAGCCUAUGGAUUGCUUUUUAAAGCUUGUCAAACUCUCUGAAUUGCCUUUCUUCCAGCACCCAAAAUAUACUUACCAUACAGUGGUACCUCAGGUUAAGUACUUAAUUCGUUCUGGAGGUCCGUUCUUAAUCUAAAACUGUUCUUAACCUGAAGCACCACUUUAACUCAUGGGGCCUCCCGCUGACGCCGCCCGAUUCCUGUUCUCAUCCUGAAGCAAAGUUCUUAACCCAAGGUACUAUUUCUGGCUUAGCGGAGUCUGUAACCUGAAGCAUCUGUAACCCGAGGUACCACUGUAUUUAUCUUAUUCAUAGCCAUGCGGCGGUCACCUCCAGGCUUGACUACUGUAAUUCGCUCUACGCGGGGCUGCCCUUGAAGCUGUCCCAGAAACUCCAGCGGGUGCAGAAUGCUGCAGUGAGGCUCCUCAUGGGGUCUCUGCCAUGGGAGCAUAUUCACCCAGUGCUUUUCCAUUUGCACUGGCUCCCAGUGGAGUACAAGGUCAGAUUUAAGGUGCUGGUUUUGACCUUUAAAGCCCUUUACGGCCUAGGAGCCUCGUACCUAUGGGACCGCCUCUCCCGGUAUGCCUCACAGAGAGCCUCAAGGUCCAUAAAUAGCAACACCCUAGUGGUCCCGGGCCCUGAGUCAGGGCCUUCUCUGCACUGGCUCCAGCCUGGUGGAACGCUCUGUCUCAUGAGACCAGGGCCCUGCAGGAUCUGAUUUCUUUCUGCAGGGCCUGUAAGUCAGAGUUGUUCCACCUGGCCUUUGGCUUGGAGCCAAUUUGAUUCCCUCCCCCUCUUUCUUUUUCCUUUUUCCUGCUGUGAUGAGGCUGCAUUUUAAUGUUUUAAUGUUGUAUUUUAAUCUUGUUUUUAAGUUGUAUUCAUUCAACUUGUUUUUAUUAUUGCUUGUUAGCCGCCCUGAGCCCAGCUUUGGCUGGGGAGGGCAGAGUAUAAAUAAAAUGUAUUAUUAUUAUUAUGGUAUCAAAUCAAGGUAUCUGAUUCAAUUUACACCUUAAAUAUUUUCUCUGCUAGAAAGAGGAAAAUUCAGAUGUGCGAUUGCAGGGCAUCAGCAAGUCUGGAUUUAGGGUGCUGAGCCGAGAGGGUGCAAAAUUGAGAAGAUCCAUAACUGAGAAGAUUUGGGGCUCACUCAGGGCACCAGAUUACCAAAGAUUACCAAAGUCUACCCUUGACGUCAGAUGUAGCAGUUAAGUUUGCCUCGAACUUACUGCUAAAAAAUAUUGGGCUUUUCUCGCAGUAGAAAAGAAAUGGGCUCUCAGUGAAACAAGCACAGCAAUUCUAUGCCAGGCUAAAGAGGGAUAGUAAAAUUAUCCCAGAUAUUUAUUGAAAUGUCACUUUAUCAAGAAACCAAAGGUCCAGUUCUAUGGGCUGUGUUUUGGAUUAAUAAAGUUGCAAUCAUAUACUGUAUGGAGUAAAAGCCUAACUAAAAAUAGGUAGGAUCUAGCUUCACACAAGGGACGCGGGUGGCGCUGUGGGUUAAACCACAGAGCCUAGGACUUGCCGAUCAGAAGGUCAGCGGUUCGAAUCCCCGCGAAGGGAUGAGCUCCCAUUGCUCAGUCCCUGCUCCUGCCCACCUAGCAAUUCGAAAUCACGUCAAAGUGCAAGUAGAUAAAUAGGUACCGCUCCGGCGGGAAGGUAAACGGCGUUUUCGUGCGCUGCUCUGGUUCGCCAGAAGCGGCUUAGUCAUGCUGGCCACAUGACCCGGAAGCUGUACACUGACUCCCUCGGCCAAUAAAGCGAGAUGAGCGCCGCAACCCCAGAGUCGGCCACGACUGGACGUAAUGGUCAGGGGUCCCUUUACCUUUUUAGCUCCACACAGAGUUGGCUAGAUUCAAAGUCAGGAGCCCUUGGUGUAACAACAGAGACCCUAGGUGUAUGUUUUUAAUUUUAAUCAUGCUUCAGUAUUAAUUCAAUAUCAAUUGCAUUUAACCUUUGGAUAGAAUGCAUCCAUACCAUACCCUGAGGCAGCAUUCUAGGUGCACUGUUUUCUUUCUCAGUAGUGGCCACUGUUGCCAGAUAUGGUACAGAGGCGAUUCAUAGCCAUUAAAAGAGGCCAAAAGGAGUUAGGUGUCAUGGGCCAGAAGUCGGCUUCACCUGCUGAGCAGCAGCCUGAAGGAGCUGAAGGUGAAGUGACUCCACCUGAUGCUGAUCAGCCUUCUUGCUCCUGAUGAGAACCAGCUGGCUCCAGCUUUCUUAAGCAGAGUUUCCAGCCUCAAUCAGUUGCUGGAAACAACAUUCGUUGUUCCUGAGCAGACCUUGCUGCUUCUUGUGACCCUGGACCUUCAGCUUUCUUGACCCCCGGAUGGUCUGACUACGUGAACCGAGAUACUCCUGACCUUAGGACUGGACUGGACCGGACCUUGUAUUCAGACUCUGCUUCCAGGCAAGUACCUCCCUGACACUCGGCUGGUUGGCUGGCUUCUCCCUCCACUGAGCUCUGCCAUGGUUGGCACCACCACCAGUGCAAUUCUUCACACCAUUUCAAUUGUAGCAAGCAUUGUAAGAUGCCUGGCAUCUUACAGGAAGACACUGCAUGCACAUUGGCACAAGUCUUUUUCUGCGCCACUGCAAUGCUGAAUAUGUAUAGACCAGGCAUCCCCAACCUGUGGCCUUCUAGAUCUUUUGGCCUACAACUCCCAUGAUCCUUAGCUAACAGGACAAGUGGUCAGGGAUGAUGGGAAUUGUAGGCCAAAACAUCUGGAGGGCCGAAGGUUGGGGAUGCCUGGUAUAGACUCUGUUGUAAAGGUAAAGGGUAAAGGGACCCCUGACCAUUAGGUCCAGUCAUGACCAACUCUGGAGUUGAGGUGCUCAUCUCGCUUUAUUGGCCGAGGGAGCCAACAUACAGCUUCCAGGUCAUGUGGCCAGCAUGACUAAGCCGCUUCUGGUGAACCAGAGCAGCGCACGGAAAUGCCGUUUACCUUCCCGCUGGAGCGGUACCUAUUUAUCUACUUGCACUUUGACGUGCUUUUGAACUGCUAGGUUGGCAGGAGCAGGGACCGAGCAACGGGAGCUCACCCCGUUGCGGGGAUUCGAACCGCCGACCUUCUGAUCGGCAAGUCCUAGGCUCUGUGGUUUAACCCACAGUGCCACCCGCUAUUGUUGCUGGACUACAACCCCCAUCUGACCUGAUCAUUGGACAUGUUGGUAGCAGCUGGUGAGAGCUGUAGUCCAACAACACAUGGAGGCUGCCAUCUUGGUUACCUUCACUCUAUCGUAACCUUGGUUACCUUCACUCUAUCCACAUUCCAGCAGCUCCCAUGUGUAGGAGAGAACCCUCCAUCUCCAGAGGUGUCAUGAGUGGCAGCCAGGCAAAUAGAACUUUUUGGAACACCUUGCCAAAAUAGGUUGAGCUGCUUACCCCGCCCUGUCCUACUUGUAUUUAGGGAAGUUUUUAUGAACUUUUUUUUUUCUAGAGCCAGGUUUUUUCUUUGUUUGUUUUUUAAAAAACACACUGUGCUGUUUUAUCUUGCUAGUCUUUUCUGGUUUAAAUACAGUGGUACCUCGGGUUAAGAACUUAAUUCGUUCUGGAGGUACGUUCUUAACCUGAAACUGUUCUUAACCUGAGGUACCACUUUACCUAAUGGGGACUCCCGCUGCUGCCAGACUGCUGCUGCGUGAUCUCUGUUCUCAUCCUGAAGCAAAGUUAUUAACCUGAGGUACUAUUUCUGGGUUAGCGGAAUCUGUAAGCUGAAGCGUCUGUAACCUGAGGUACCACUGUGUUCCAGUUUAUUAUUUUGUACGUAUUCAAUCCUAUUUUAAGCCGCUUUGAGGAGACCAGUUAUAAAUGCAAUCACUCGGUGAACUGGUUUACUUUAACGGAACGAUUCUGGUGCAAAUGUGGAGUGGAUGGCAGCCUAAUACACUUUUCUGUUUCUGAAAUUCCUUCCUAUGACGCUAGGAAUCCUAUAAAUGCCUUGCUCCCUGGUGGCCCGUUUUUGCGUAGAAUAUAUUUAACGUUUGCAAAGAUGUGAUUAGGAAUGAGCAAACUGACUUGCGCAUAUUUCUGGAAUAGUUGGAAACAGCCCUGGCCCUGUUUGUGGAAAGGCAGAUGCUUGCAUAGUGGGCAAAGCACAUCGGUACUGAUUAUAGCAGCAAAACAAAUGUGAGUCUGCAGUGCCACCUGUUGCUUCAGUUAGGAUCAUCGCACGUAAUAGCAGCAGCCGGAAUCACAUUUGCUUGGAAGUCAAGGCCAGUAUAUGUCCCUUGGGGGCUAGGCUGGGAUGCGGGUGGUGCUGUGGUCUAAACCAAUGAGUCUCUUGGGCUUGCCGAUCAGAAAGUUGGCGGUUUGAAUCCUCGCAACAGGGUGAGCUCCCGUUGCUCUGUCCCAGUUCCUGCCAACCUAGCAGUUCAAAAGCACACCAGUGCAAGUAGAUACAUAGGUACUGCUGCAGCAGGAAGGUAAAUGGCGUUUCAGUGUGCUCUGGUUUCUGCCACGGUGUUCUGUUGCGCCAGAAGCAGUUUAGUCCUACUGGCCACGUGACCCGGAAAGUUGUGGACAAACGCCGGCUCCCUUGGCCUGAGAGCGAGAUGAGCGCCACAACUCCAUAGUCACCUUUGACUGGACUUAACUAUCCAGGGGUCCUUUACCUUUUACCUUUUGUGUACAAAUAAAUGGGGUUGAUUCAUUACCUUGUUAUUAUAGACCUCUGGUAAGGGAACCUAAAUAUGCAGGAACAGGAGAGUAAAAGCAAGUUAAGAACCCCCAGUCUGGUCCAAGGUGGAAAGGACCUAAUUCUCAUGAACAUGGUGAGCAAUGUGUUGGCGUGCCAGGCAGUGUCUCCUUGUUAUUCAGGUGAACAGCAGUUGUGGGCUGGUACAUUGGCCAGUUCCUCUCUCCUUCAGCAUCAGCAUGACAUCACAAUGGCCUGUGUCUCUACUUCUGGUUGGACACAUCCGUGUGAGAACACAGUGGCCAGUCUGUGAAAUAGGCAGCAUCAGCAUGAGAUCACAGUGGCCAGAUUUUCUCCCUCAGGUGGCUAGCAUGGGCCACAUUGGGCAGCUCCUGUCCUUCAGGUAGGGAGCAUCAUCUUGUGGGGAGAGGCAUUCAUUCAUCUUCAUUCCUCUUCCACUCAGGCAGGCAGUAGCAUGUGGGCAGAAUAUUUAUUUCUCUUGCGGAAGCUGCCAAAAGCAGGUACAUGUCAGCACAAUCUCUUUCUCAGUGAGGUGGGCUUAGUUGGGAGCAGAUGGUGGGCCCUGUAUGUUCUUCUCUUAGUGAGGUGGUCAGCAGAUGUAUGAGAGUAGUGGUCAUCUCACCGAAAUGGGCAGCAGCAUGCGGAUAGAGAAGCAGCAGGCAAGGCAAAGAGCAGGCAAGUAGACAAUCCAUCUAUUACAGGGCCUCUCUAUUUACAGGAAGUGGGUGCGGAUGGCACUGUGGUCUAAGCCACUGAGCCUUUGGGGCUUGCUGAUCUGAAGGUUGGCAGUUCAAAUCCCCACGAUGGAGUUAGAUCUCGUUGCUCUGUCCCAGCUCCUGCCAACCUAGCUGUUCGAAAACAUGCCAGUACAACUAGAUAAAUAGGUACCACUUUGGCAGGAAGUUAAACAGCAUUUCCAUGCACUCUUGAUUCUGUCACGGUGUUCCAUUGUACCAGAAGCGUUUAGUCAUGCUGGCCACAUGACCUGGUAAGCUGUCUGUGGACAAACGCUGGCUCCCUCUGUCUGAAAAGUGAGAUGAGCCCAUAGUUUCCUUUGACUGGACUUAACCGUCCAGGGGUCCUUUACCUUUUACCUUGCUUUGGGG